UCACUAAAUCUAAUAUAUUGAUAUACAUCUAUAUACUUUCCAACACCCCUCUCAAGUUGGAGAGUGGAUGUCAAGAACUCCCAACUUGCAUAAGAGAGAUUUGAACUUCUUCUUUCCCAAAGCUUUAGUGAACACACCCGCCAAUUGUUGUGAGGAAAUAACAUGUCGAGUAACAAUUUGGCCAUGUAAAAUUUUAUCUCGAAUAAAAUGACAAUCCAUUUCAAUGUGUCUUCUUUCAUGAAACACCGGAUUUACAUUAAUAUGCAAGGCUGCUUGAUUAUCACAGUGUAAAACAACAGGACCCAAAAUAGGCAUAUGCAAAUCUGAUAACAAAUACCAUAACCAAGUGAGUUCACAACAUGUACCUGCCAUUGCUUGAUAUUCAGCUUCUACACUUGAUAAGGAAACAGUUUUAUGCCUCUUUGUCCUCCAAGAGAUUACGGAAUUACCCAAGAAUACACGAUAACCAGUAGUAUAACGACGAGUAAUAGGACAACCCGCCUAAUCAAAAUCACAAAAAGCUCUCAAUUUCAAUGAAUUAUUUGACUUUAGAAGCAAACCUUGGCCUGGAGCUGAUUUUAAAUAACGUACCACUCUAAGGGCAGCCGCCAUGUGUGGUUGACGUGGUUCAUGCAUAAAUCGAUUAAGAACAUGUACUGAGUAUGUGAUGUCGGGUCUGGUGAUGGUUAAGUAAAUUAAUCGACCAACCAAACGAUGGCAUGCAGCAGGGUCUUUGAGCACUUCUCCUUUGUUUGAAAGCUCACAUUCUUCCAUAAGAAAUUCAACCGGUUUAGCACCCAAGUAUCCACUGUCUUUAAUAAUCUCCAAGGCAUAUUUGCAUUGGGAUAUGUAAUUCUCUUUCUUUGAAUGAGCUAUUUCAAUGCCUAAGAAGAAUUUCAUAUCACCAAGUUCUUUGAUACGAAAACGAGAAUGUAGAAACUACUUUAAAGCAUUAAUUGACUCAAUAUUGUUUCCUGUGAUCGAUAUAUCGUCUACAUAGAUCAAUAGUACAGUGAGAGAUGUACCAUCCUUUCAAACAAAUAAGGAAUAAUUAGCUGUAGAUUGAGAAAAACCAGCAGCAAGAAUAGCCUCUAUGAACUUAGAAAACCACUGUCUAGAGGCAUGUUUAUGUCUAUACAACGACUUGUGAAGGCGACACACAAGGUUCUUCUCCUGUCGCCAAAGACCAGGAGGAGGUGACAUAUAUAUUUCUUAUAAUAAAUCGCCAUUUAAGAAAGUAUUAUGAACAUCUAACUGAUACAAAGACCAAUUCUGACUGGCAGCAAUAGCAAGAAGAAAAUGAACAGUUACCAUUUUUGUUGUGGGAGAAAAUCUGUAAUGGUAAUCGAUGUCAGCAACUUGAAUAAAAUCUCAAGGAACAAGACAAGCCUUAUAUUGCUCAAUAGAACCAUCAGCCUUGCGCUUAAUGCGAUAGACCUACUUGCAACUGAUUGGACGUUUUCCAUGAGGUAAAGAAACAAGACUCCAUGUCUUAUUUUCGAUAAGAGCUUGAAGCUCAGAAUUCAUAGUCUCGCGCCACUUGGGAUCGGCUACUGCAAUUUCAUAAGAUGUCGGUUCCUCAUCCCGACUGACAUUAGCAACAUAUGUGAGGUGUGUAGGAGAACACUGAUCAUAAGACAAUUGAGUUACAAAGAGGGUACCUCAUACUAUGUUGCCGCUGGAAAAUAAAUCUAAUGACACAAAGUGUCAUCCUAUCAUUUGACCAAGCAAAAGAUGUGCCGCCAACCUAGAACAGAUAAGGCACACAAGGUGCAUAGCCGGCACAAAGCCCUUUUUGCCCUACCAUUUAGUGAAAAUGUAUUAUUGAAGGCAGAAAGCUGCACAAUACUAGAAUUAAAAUGCAAUAAAGCGUAAUUAAAACAUAAUAAAAGUGCACAAAUGUAAAAUAGAAAGGACCCAAGGUCAAGCCCUAAACUCAAUUCAUAAUAGUCUCAAACAAGCCCACAGCUGGACUAAGGUCAACCAGGCCCUGUCCUUAAUCUUAGCCCAUGCAAACUUCUGCACAUGCAGCCUAACUACUACCAGCAAACCCACAACCAUGUAUGGUCGCCACCACAGCUGUUGGAUCCCAACCACCGUCGAAAUCUCAUCUUCGACAGAGUCCCACCGCAAUAUCCCCACAACCCCAACCUGCAUGAGCGAACCUCCACGUCCUUAAGCAACACAAAUCGAGUUCCGACCUCAAUCUGUGGGUGACGAGAUCCGAAAGGACGAGCCAAGAAACCACAACCCAGAUCGGGCAUCACAAUGAAUAUUGCAUCGAGAUGCUGCAUGAAUUGAUCAAUCACCCCUAUCUUCCACGAGCCAUCUACAUAUGCUGCCACUGCAAUCGAUUUUGAACAAGAGACAACAAGAACCUUCUCAACCCCAUCCAAUCAUUGGAGCAUGCUCCAAUAGUAGCAGCCCGUCUAGCCGCACUCGACGAAUGCCAACAAGGCCAGAGGCUAACGCCAACACUGAUGCGCAACCAGAUGAGAGCAAGUAAGACAGACGACAUCUAGGAUUUUAGAAAAGCGUGUAGAGCACCUUUUGUGUUUAGUAUUUAGUCUAAUGAGGAAAUUUUACUAAUGGUACCCCAUAUAACAUCCAUUCAUCAUUAUGGCAUAUGACAUUUCAAAACUAUAAUAUUGGUACCCUAACAUGUAAAGCUGACAUAAAUUUGAUACCUUCCAUCUCUAACAGUGUCAAGUCGACUGCUACAAAAGUUGUUUCAUGGGCAAUUAUGUCUUUUUAUUUUUCUUGACAUUUUCCCUCUCUCCCUCUUCCUCCGCCGCACACAGCCAGCACAUGUUCUCAUCUACAUAUCUAUUUAAUCAGACACAAAAUUGCUGCAAACUGAACCUUCCUCUUCUUGUUUUUCAUUGUUUUCUUCUUGUACUUGCAAUAGUUCUCCAACAAUUAAAACUCCCCCAAAAUUCAGAAUCCAAAUUCCAACUAAUUACAAAACUUUGUUGUUUCUCUAGUAAACAAUUCCCAAUUUUUCGAUCUCCAUUCCAAGUUUCCAACCCAACCCAAUGGAGAAUUCGACCCAAGAAUCCCCUAUACUAUAACUCAUUGGCUCUAUUAGAGAUUGUUGUUUAGGUUGGUAAUUAAGAAAAGUAGUUGUAGAAGAAGCACAAGUAGUAAAAUUUGUGAAUCUAAAUAUUAAAAUAAGUUCAUGCCACCCAUUUUAAUGGGGCAUGGGGUUCACUAGGAUACAAAGAAAGACAUACUCUAGGUCUCUGAUUGUCGAAUCUUGUCAGACUGCCUCAAGAUUCAGUACUUUUAGAAGAGAGUGGCAGCAAAACAGCCUCUGUCGUCAAAGAAAAUUGUAUCAACCAAGGAGACGAAAAUACCCCUUUAAAAGUAUAGAGUUAACGCCAUCAUUGACAGCAAAUACUAAAAGUGGUUUCUGUUCCAUUGUUUGAGUACCAAUAUAAUAGUUUUUAAAUAUGGUGUAUUGAAUUGAUGAAUGACCUUUAUUUGAGGUAUGGUUUGUAAAAUUUCCUCUUAGUCUAAUUUACGAAUUUAUCGAUUAAUUAAUAGAUUGUUAGAAUUAAUAAAUUUUGGCAUUUGUGAUCGAUGUUAUCCAUUUAAGGAGAUUUCAGUCAUUUAAUUGCAUUAGAACAUCUCCAACAGCUUCCCCAAAAAUUCUCUAAAAUGGGAAAGCAAAUGCUAAAAUCUUCAAAAAAAUUAUGCUUAAAAUUCAACAGCUUCUCCAUUUUAGAAAUUUCGGCAUUUAAUACAACAAUAAAAUAUAUUAUAUCAUUAUUAAUUAUAACAAAAAAAUUAUAAAAUUCAUUGUAACAAUAAAAUACCCAAUAAAAUAUUCUAUUGUUGUCUUGAAUUCGUUGGAGCACAUAAAGAAUUUAAUUUUGGGAAAUGAAAGUUUUGUUGCAAAUUUAGGGAAUGAAGAUUUCUCUCUUUUCUCCAUCCCCAUUUUGGAGAAUGAGAUGACGAAGCUGUUGGACCUAAAAACAGUUCUAUAUCCCCUAAAAUUGAGAAGUUCAAGAAAAUUAGGAAGUUGUUAGAGAUGCUGAUAAAGUCCACGACUGUAAUGUUUGUAUUUUUUUUUCAUCGAAUAAAAAGAAAAAGAAAGGCAAAAGAAAUAGAAACCAAGUCAUUUUACAUUUUUACUCAUCCGGCAGCCCGAAACAGAAACCCCAAGUCAUUUCAUUUCAACCAGAGUCUUCAUCCUUCUCCUCUCUCUCUUCACUCUCUCCCUAUUCCGAUCCAGUUCCAUGGAGUCCCUCCCCCGCGACGCCCUCCACCACAUCUUCUCCCUCCUCCCCCUCCGCCAGAUCAUCAUCUGCCGCUGCGUCAGCAAGCACCUCCACCACCUCCUCACCUCCCCCUCCUUCCUCUCCUCCCCCUCCCCUCCCCUCCACCUCCUCGCCCUCCGGCCUCCCCACCACCGCCACCACCACCACCACCUCUCCUCCCUCCACCUCUUCGACCCUUCCCUCCACCGCUGGCUCCGCUUCUCCCUCGACUUCCUCCCCUUCCGCUCCCCCCACCCCGUCGCCUCCUCCUCCGGCCUCCUCUACCUCUGGGCCGACUCCCCCUCCGACUCCUCCAAGUCCCUCCUCCUCUGCAACCCCCUCACGCGCCGCUUCCGCGCGUUGCCCCAGCUCGGCUCCGCCUGGUCAAGACACGGCUCCGUCCUCGUUGACUCCGCCGGACGCGUCAUGGUCCUCACCGAGCUCGCCGCGCUCUACUUCUCCGCCGGAGAGGACGACCGCUGGCUCAAAUUCUCCUCCAAUCUCCCGUCCAAGCCGCGCAGCCCGAUCCUGGCGGCGGAGGAGUCGGUCUUCGCUCUCUGCGACGUCGGCUCGCCGUGGCGGAGCCAGUGGAAGCUCUUCGCCUGCACCGUUUCGAAGCUGCGGAGCUCGCAGCAGUGGACGAGGCUGGAGAAGCCGGAGUGGGGGGACGUGUUUGAUAUCUUGAAACGGCCGCGUUUGGUGAAAGGAAAUGGCAGCAAGAUUCUGAUGGUUGGCGGUUUGAAGUCGUCGUUUUCGCUCAACUCGUCGUGCUCGACGAUUCUGAUACUGAGGCUCGAUUUGGAGAGCUGGGAGUGGGACGAGGCCGGGCGGAUGCCGGUGGAGAUGUUUAAGUGUUUUCAGGAGUGUAGCAAGUUCAAGGUGUUUGGUGGAGGCGACAGGGUUUGCUUUUCGGCCAAGAGGUUGGGGAAGUUGGCUUUGUGGGACAAUUGUGAAGGGAAAGCAGAGUGGAAGUGGAUUGAAGGCGUUCCCGGGAGUGGCGAUGGGCUUUGCAGGGGGUUUGUUUUCGAGGCCAGGCUUACCCCAUUGCCUUGAUCAGUUCAGUCAAGGUUUCGGCUUGUGAUGCGAGCUAGAGGUUGGUACUUGUUUACUGAAAAAAACACUCCAUUGUUGUUGUAUUAUCAUUGAAUUCAAGAACCUGUGGUAUUGUUAUUUGAAUUCGUUAGUGCAAAUGUCUAGGUAAAUAUUUUGAAAUUGUUACUCCUGUAUGUUUUCUAUAUUAGCCUCGUUUUAUGUGUCAGCUAUUAGCUUUAUGAACUUGGCAUCAUUUGUCUCUGCAAUUAGCUUAGCGAGUGACCUAGCUCUAGUUAUGUGAAACAUUUAAGUAGAUAAGAUGCUAAUGAAAGAAAUCCAUAUCGGUUAGGAAGAGCUAAACAACUUUAUUCUGCUUUUGUUCUAUGCGUCUACACUAAUAGUGAUUAAUCCUUUGGUUCCCUGUAUGUUUUUCACUCGAUGUCUAUGCACUCUAAAACUAGUUAGUUCAUAAUUGUGGGCUUCUUCUUUAGUUUCAACUAAGGCUGCAGCAUUCUAGAGCACUUCCAGGAAUGGCAUCAAUACACUGCCACUCUGCUAGUAUCAACCGGCGUCCUAGAUUCAUUGAUUUGAGUCGGUUUGGAUAUGUUGUGAAUGAUAUGUAGACAUGUAGGUAAGGAGUGUAGUCCUUAUGCAGAACCUAGAGCACCAUAUAACUCUGGUUUGAUUCUAUACAUGUGUGAGCCUUCAGUGCUUGUUUGAAGUCGGAAAGUCUGAUUGUUGAUUGAAUUGCUUGUAAGGUACAUUUCAUCCGUUUGCAGUAGGAACGUGGUGUAAUUCUUGAGUUUCACUCAUGAUUCCAUCAAAUCUUGCAUGUCUAUGUCCUAUAGUUGUUUAGGGUGUUGAAGUAAGGCUUUCGUAUUCAAAUGCUAAUUCAAGCUAGCAUUUUGGAGGCUGUGGGUCAUUACAAAUGGUAUUUAAGUUUCCCCAAGUCACUACAAAUACGUGAGUUGAUUUACUUGGUAUAAGGUAAAUGGUCAGCAGGAAAACAUUUCCAGUAGUAUAUUUGAUACCUUUCCUGGCAUGGUCGACAUGGCAUAAAGGAGGGGAGAGUAAAGUCUCACAUCAGGUAUUUGUUGGAAAGAUCUAGGCUUAAAAUAAGGCACAGAACCCGAAUAUCUAUAAUUAGAAUAAGUCAUGUAAUUCUUGUCCUGAGAACUUGGAAGCUUGAAUAAUUUGAUUUAAUCAGAUUUAUAUGUUAUUGUAUUGCCAUGAAAUGUUGGGCUAAAUCCCACAUGCUGAACUCAGACAGUUCUGCAAACCCAAAGACAGUUGUAUGUUUGAGUUCUGCAAGAAGUCAUUUGCAGUUGGUGCAAAUUAAAUUGUAAAACUUAGAUUUAGAUCAUCCAAAUCAAAUGGAGCUUCCAAGUUUUUUUGUUUAAACAUGGAAAAAUAUUGAACCAUGAAGGCCCUCCGGCACUCUUGUUGAGUUGCAUGGGGUACCCACGCAGUCACGAGCAAUGCUUGCCCACAUGCAUCCUUGAGCACCUGCAAAACCUAUACGUAUGCAUGUGGGAUCCCAUUUGAUGCUAGCCUAGUUGUAAUAUCUAACCUGCAGAUUCUUAUUAUUCAUGCUGUCACCUACAUUGCAAUGGCCAACACAGGACUCUUUGAUCGGAAGAUUCUGUGGUCAGUUUUAGGGCCGGGCAUUUAACCGAAUGUGUGCAAAAAACCAACCGAACCGAAUCGAAAAAUCGAAUCGGAUAACCGAACCAAAACAUUUAGGUCAAAACUAGUAGUGAACCAAACCGAACCGGUUUAAAUCGGAUUGGAUCCGGUUCAAGCUCUUAAACAAACCAAAAAUAACCGAACCGAUCUGAAUUAUAUAAUGUGUAAAUAUAUAUAAUUUAUAUACUUGAAAUAUUAUUAUUAUUAGUUGAUUUCAUCUCUAUUUACAGUUUACUCACACACUUAAUCUCUCCAUAUAAAAGACAAUUUCUCAUUCAACUCAUUUCUUGGAAAAAUCUAUUAGUGUAGAAAAGAUUGGGAGUGCAUUGGAUUGAUUGUUGUACUUUGAGUUUAUAUAUUUUCUUAUAAAAAAAAACAUGUUAUUCAAGUUAAAAACUUGUAGUUCAACUUUACAUAGGCCAAAAGUUUUUCAAAUAUGGACCAAAACCGAAACCAACCUGAACCGAUCUGAAAUUCAGAUGGGCCGAAUAUUCGGGUCAAAGGUUUUAAACUCCGGAUUUGGUUGAAAAAAACCUUAACCGAAUAAUUUGGAUUGGCAGUUUUGGUUUCGUCCUAAAACCGACCCGAACCGAAGAUGCCCAGCCCUAGUCAGUUUUUUGGCCAACAGCUGUAGAAAAUAAGGUGAAUGUGUAUAAUUGUUGAUCUCAUUCUUUUUUUAUUUAUAUGUUCUUUCCAAAUAUAAAAUCUGCAGUUAUCACCUUUUUAUUUGUAUUGUGGGCUUGAACAUUAAACAUUUCUUUUCCUUUUGCCUUUGCUGCACCUAAUAAUUUAGUUAAUCUCUAGGCAACUGCACUGGAUUGAACAUGAGUGUGUUAGUUGAUGUAAGCACCAUUUUGGCUACACCAUCACGAGCAAAUAACAUUGGUAUUUGGAGGGAAAAGUUCAUGAAUUGUACUUAGUCUCUCUUAUGCUGAAGUAAUUAUUGGGACAGACCAAAAUAGAAUGGCUAAAAUCCACUGUAAUUUGUUUUUCCUGAAUGUGAAACUUCUAGGAAGAUGUCCGGAAUCUCUAUGCAAAUGGCGAAUUGAAAUUUUUUAUGUUCUGAUACUUGGCUUCAAAUGUGGGCUGGAAUUUUUUAAUUUAUUUAAUUCAUUUGUGUUUUCAUUUUCUGCACUGAUUGUCAAUUUAUGAGUGUGGUCUUAUACUUUCUCUUCUUCAUUCAUAUAUUUGAUGUACCAGUACCGCUGAAUGGAUUACGACACAUUCAUAAUGGAUUUAUCAUCAGAAUUUCUGCUUAUGAGAUGAUAAACCAUUCUAAUAUCAGAGCACAUUUGUUUGGUUUGUCUCUUGUCUACAAUAUGUUUUUUUUUUUUUCCGACAAAUUUGUCUGCAGUAUGUUUUGAUCCUUGCUUUGAUAUUUAAUAAACCACCUAUUCGAAAUGAUGCAGCUUCCAUAAGCUGGAUCUUCUUUCUUUUGGCAAAAGUGCAUUGGUAAAGUUUAAACAGAUUGUUAUGAACAAAUAUGGAUGGCUAGGUUAAGUGAAUCUAUAGCACCGAUUUGUUUCCUCAGCUUUAAUUGUUUGUUGCUCUUGUUCAUUGGGAUAACAUAAUGCUAUAAGGACUAGGGUAAUAUCAUUAGUCAUGACAAACUCAAGGUUUCCAGCUUCUUAUAUGUACAAAUAACAAGUGACUGAUCUGGCAUGCUAUGCAGCUCCCAUAAGCUGGAUCUUCUUUCUUUUGGCAAAAGUUCACUGGAUAGUCUAUACAGAUUGGUAUGAACAAAUACAGAUGGCUAGGUUAGGUGACUCCAUAGCACCAUUUUGUCACCCCAGCUUUAACUGUUACAGUCUGUUGUUCAUUGGGAUAGUCUACUGAUAUAUAAUCUGACUAUGCCAUGCCCUGUAGCUUUUAUAUUAUUAGGGAUUUGUUCUCAUUCUAGUUGUAAAAAAGGAGUACUCGAUUAUGGCCUGAGCAGCUCAAUUUCUCGGCAAGUGCUUACAGUUGUUUAUCUUUAUGCUACAAGGAUUUAGGUUUUUCUAGAGAUGUAAUUCGGGUUUUCACCUUUUCUUUUCUUAUAAUUAGGGAUGAGCAUCCUGAAUUUGAGUUGCGGUCUAUCUGCUUCUUCAAACCAUUGGAAUGGAGUCAUGAAGCCAUGUGUAGGUUUAAAACUCCGAGUUACUUCAGUUGAAUCUCAGGUUCAAUGAGUCUCCCACACAGGACUUAUUAGUCUGUCAUAGUAAUUCAUCUUCAUACGGCCGCAGCAUCCAGGUGAGCUGGCGAGCACCUUGUUACUUGCUCUCAAAGGCAUGGUUCAAUUUCUGAACUGUUCUCUAGGACUUGCAUUUGUAUUUGGUCUUGUUGUCUGAGCAUCCUGAUUCCUGAUCAAUGUUUUCCAACUAGUUACUUGUCUCACUUUCGGAUUUGGAAGUCUCAGGUCUUGUGUUAUACUUGGGUCAUUCUUUUAUCUAUAAAUGGUGCACCGCUGAAGCUAUCAGCUAUAAGCCCGAUUAGUAAGUCUCGAUGUCAGGUCAUCACCAAUGCUUGUUGAUUUCUAGCUCUCCAUUGGUUAUGCUAACUAUUCUUCGCGCACAAAGUUGCAUCAAAACUCAACAUCAGCCUCUGCACUAUUCCCCUGGUCAUCACUUCAUCUACCUCUUUUGCUUAUGAAACUUUAGCCUUCUCCUUUUUCUGGAUUUUUAGGGUUAAAAACUUAAAAUCCAUAACCAUCUUUUGUGAUUCAAAGUCAUGGAGCAUUGUCUCCUGGACCCAAUUCAACCAUCAUGAGAUAUGCAAAAAGAUCAUGAUAGGAGCCAUUUCAACCAAAGUUUUCUCUAUAGUUGAGUGAACCUCAAUAGAAUGGAGAAGGGGACCCCUUAAUCCAUUUGGAAAUUCCAUAUGAUAUCCAUGAGUAUAAAUAGUCUAGGUUCCAUUUCUGGGUUUUGAAGGUGACAUUCUAUCUAAUUAGGUGGGAUUGCUAGCAUACAUGCACUUAGGACCCAGAAAAAAGGAAAGCAGAGGUACUGAUAUAAUGGUCCAGCUCGAAUAAGCUGUCAAUUUCAUAGCUCUCUGCAUAGUUGAUAGGUACGGAACUAUGGAUCAAGCAUUGUAUGUCGUGUGUGAGUGAUUGAUGGUGCUCGGUAAUACUUGCAUCACUAGUAUCCUCCCUUUGAACAUCAUGAGCACAAUGUUUUUUUCCUUUUAAUUUGGCUUUUGCGUUAGUUAGUGCACCACGCAUAUGAAGGUCAAUCCAAAACACCUGAAUGACCUGAUGAUUCUAUUGAUUGGUACUUUUUUUUGGCACAAAACUUUUCUUUUAAUCUUGUUAAUUCAUGACCAAUUUUUAUACUUUUUUAAAGUUAAAAACAAAGAAUUACAAUAUGUGUUAUUGUAGGUGAGAGAUUGUGAGUUCGACUCACGAAGUUAUAAUAUAUGAUAAAAAUAUAUAUGUUGCUAUACAUAGUAGGGCUGGGUAUGGGCCGGGACGAGCCAGGAUUAGCGUGAUCUCGAUCCCGAUCCUGAAAUUUUAAAUGACGGGACAAGACAAGAUGAGGGAUUUUCAGAAGUGAUCUUGGUAGGCCCGAAUGAUGAUGAUGAUGCUUGAAGACUUUGCUUAUUUUGUGUAGUAGUUGUUAGUUUAUUUAGUUUAAACUCUUUAGUUUUAUUUGCUCGGUUUUAGUUUGUAACCCCUAAUGUUUUUAAGGGGAACUAUUGCGGUUAUGUCACACCUCUAUUUUUUUUUUUUUUUGUAGGUGCAAGUGUGCAACUCAUAUUUCAAUUAUAGAAUAGAAUUUCCAUAAUCAAAAUAUGAAAAAAAUUAGAAAAGAACAACUCAACACCAACUAACUGAAAUUUUAUUCUUCAUUAUAAAAAGUAACUUACAAAAAUAGACUUAAGAAAGUCUACAUCUUAUUCUAAGAGAAAGCAAACAGCACACAAAUUUUACAGGAAAUUUAAAAACAUCCUUGCAAGAAACCAACUUCAAACAGCUUGUUUAUUACCUGCAAAAUAUUUAAAGGGGUGAGCAUAAAUAGCCCAGUAGGAGGCAAAAGCUCUUCAAACAAUACAAUAUCAGUCAAAGAGACAACAUGUAUGCAUAUGUAUAAUCUGCCCCAUAUAGUUCAUAUGACAAAAUACUUCAAGUCUACAUGUCCCAUACCAUGUAUUUUUACCACAAGGGUGGCUUGGAGUAUUUAAUUACAUGAACUAUCUCCCACCCACUCACAUAACCCCUUUUACUAGUCCUUUUGCCCAUUCCCCUUUCGCCAAUCCCGAAUUACCUUUUUUCAUAACCUAUACUACUUGCGCAUCAACAUGGGCAUACCUGGGAUAUGGUUCAUGCUGAGGAUAUGGACUUAACUACACAAAAGUAAAAUUUCUAACUUCUUUACCCAAAGUGCUUUAUGCAUAGCUCUAAUACUUCCUUAUGCACAAAUGAAAAACCACUCCACAUUAUGAACAGAAUGCAGCAAGAAAACAACGAUUUCACCAAAAAGAAGUGAUUCACAUAACAAAAUAUAAAGCAAGUAUUGAGAUUCCCCAAGUUUCCUCUUACCUUUGCCGGAUCUCACUUCAAGUUUCAAGCUCCUGAGUUCCUACACCAAGGUAUCUCUCCCUCACUCUAAGUAUGGGGAUUGCUAGAAGACCUAUCUCCAAAAUACUGAACACAACUAUUUAUAGAGUCUAGGAACUUAAUCCCUAAGAUAUGAACCCUAAGAUAUGAACACAGGAAGCAAAAUCGAUUUGUUCAACUGAGUACUUACCCGUUUAGCUCCUAGACCUGCCACCUCUAGGCUCCUAGGGUUCCAGCUCCUGCAAAAUAGCUUGAAGGAGUCAUCGAUCGAGCUCUGAGAAUUUGACACCUCCUGCUUGGCAAGGUCGGCUACUAAUAUUUAAGAUUUUCUAGGUCGGUUUCUGGGUUUCAAGGUGGUUGAGCAAGAUUUCGGAUGGGACUGAUCAUGGUUCCGGAUUAAGAAGCAUCUGGUGGAGGAGAAAGUCGAUGAAGAUGAAGGACAAGCUUUUGAGUUUAAGUUGUGUUUUCUGUCUAUCUAUUUGUGACAACACUUUCUAAACAAUGUUUUAGUUUGAGCUCAAGUUUUAGGUUAAUUGAUAUUGGGCCAAGUUUUCGGUUAAUUGAUAUUGGGCCAAGUUUUGGUUUAUGGGCUAAAAACUCUCCUAGAAAAAUAAAUAAAAUAGAAAUAAUCUAAACAACUACAACAGUUUUUAACAUGUAUUAAUAUAUAUAAUGUAUAUAUAUCUAUACACAUAAAAGAUUAAAACCAACAAUGCAGAAAAUUAGUUAAAAUUUCUGAGUCGUCACAGGUUGUACCUUCAUGUUGCUUAGUCAUCACUAUUUCAGUUUUCAAUGGGUAAACAUUUGAUCAUUCACUUUCAUACUCAUGAUGCAUGUUGGUACUUAUGUAUAUAUUAAUCUUUUUUCAAUAACAAGUGUGUGGAUGUGAAUUUUUUAUGAAGAAAAUUUGCUUAACGAUGAUGCAUGGACUUGUUUGAGCGGGAUUGCAAGGCCUUUGCCUUGUUGGUUAAACAUGUUGGUGUCUUGCUUUAAACUUGAGCUUGAUAUAUGAUGUGGGCUAGAAAACAUGCUUGGGUCUUAUGAACUUUAAUUUUUCAAAAUAAAUUAUUAUGGAUCUAGUGUUUGAUUUAAUUCAUUUCAUAUUUGUCAUGUCAACUAUUGGAUUAAAGAAGCAUAGUGAGACUUGGGGAGCUAGCUAUUACAUGCCAUUUUGUGAGCGUUCGAGCCUUAUUUGCAACGUAUGCAUUUUUCUAUGCACUAACUUUUUGAAGAGUGAACAUCUCAUUUACUUUGCAUCUUUCAAACUUGUUUCAUAUCUUCAAAGCUCUUUGUCACAAUUCACAUCUUGGAAACAAAUUAGGCAAUUAGGAGUCCACCAUAACCAAAUAUGUAUGUCCCUAAAAGAUUGAAUAUCCUUAGAUUCUCAUUUUGAGCUUUCUUGUUAGCCUUUCAUUUCUUCCAUCAUAAAUGUCUACCCUUAACUUAAACACGUGUCUUACCCUUUCAACUUUUCUUAAUGAGCAAUACGAGAUUAUUGAUGUCAUGAUGUUUAAGAAACAAGUUUGGGAGUACUUCGAAAAAAAUAGAUGUGGCUGUGUAUAGUGUUUGCAAUUGUAAAUUCAUAUUCAUCUUUGUGGAAAAAAAAAUGCAAAAAAAAAAAAGAGAAAACGAGGAAAAGAAAAGAAAAAUCUCAAAAGAAAGUCAUUUUCAAUUCAAUAAAUAGUUUGUGUAAGUUUGGGGAAGUGGAUGAGAAAGUGAAAAUUUUUGACAUCUUAGGUUCUUAGGUUCUUAAGUUCUUAAUCUCAAAAUGAUUGUUGAUUAUUCUGUUGCUUGAAAUUUGUUAUUCCAUUCCAUUUCAUUUCUUUACCCCUCACCCUAAACCUCGUUACAUAUAAUAAAAAUCUCAUUUCACUCGAGAUGUGUGUUUUGUUUAAUUAGUGGAGAUACGAUUUAAGAGCAACCAUAUGACGGUAUUGCAUGAGAUUGUUUUGAGUGUAGUGUAGUUAAGCCAUAAAUACUUGUGUGAAAAAUAAAGUGAAUAUUUUGUGAGUAUAUGGUUAACAUGGUUUGACAUGCAUUCUUAAUUUUGGUAUAUUUAUAUGACAAAUUAGAUACAUUAUUAACAUUUCAAAACACAAGCAUUUGAUUCACGAUCCAUGAAGUUUAAAGAUCUAGCUUUAUAUACAUUUUGUUCUUUGAGGAAAUUGUUGGGAGGAUUAGAAAGUUAUUUUUGUUGUUGUGUCAAAAUUUUGGUUGGUUUGCUUGAGGACAAGCAAAAUUCAAUUUUGAGGGGUAUUUGUUAGAUCAUAAUUCAUCUAUAAAUUUGUGCCCUAAACCUUGAGAUUUACUUGUUCUAAAGUCCAAUUUAUUGUCAACUAUCUAAUUCCAUGUUUUGUAAAAUCUUCACAAGAGAAGAAAAAGUAGGCUAGGGUUGGAAAACUCUCAGAGUUCUGGUUUCCUAUCCGGCAACGCCUUAAGAUCUGACGAUGGAUUCCGGCCUCGUUAGUGCUUGAUGGGUGUUGCCAGACGGGUCUUUGUCUGGCUUACGGCUGGUGGUGGUUGGUGGUUUUGGAGAACAUGAGCGAUGGGCAGAGAGAUGAAGUUCUUUGAAGGGAGUUUUAUUACCUUUUGGUUGGUAGCGAAUGCAAAGCGGAACAAAGCGGCUGUUUUUCUAACUUGCUUAAUGCUCCGACGUCAGAGAGUGGCAACACGGGGUUGACAACGACCGGAAAAGGGGUGGUUGUGACGGUGUUAUCCUCCUUAGAUUAGAUUGAUUCAAUUUGGGUUAGAUUCUAAGUUGCGACUGGUGGAAUGAUUCGGAAGAUGGUUGUGCUGCUUUUCCAGGUCAUCACGUGGAAGCUGGGUGGUUGGCAAUGGCGGCGGUCUGACAGAUGCGGUGGAGCAGCUCUCUGAGCAGUAAGCCGAGGUGGGCCAAAGGAAUAGUGGGCCAAAUCUCUUUGUUGGGCCUUAUUCUCUAUGUUCAUAGGGGUGAGGUCUGGGUUUGGGCCCUAUUAUUGUGUAUGACCUGAAUCUUGUUUCUGUUUAGUUUUGUUAUGUUAGGUUUUUCAGUUUUUGGUUAGGUUGUUUGGUUAGGUUUAAUAGGUCCCUCCUCUUUCAAGUGAGGGUUUUGGUGUGUUGUUAUGGUCGGUGUGCUACUUGAGUGGCGUCACUCUAAGGAUUAUUGGUUUUAAUUUCGAUGUUGUCUAGUUGUCAACAAGAGGGUGAUUUACUUUUACACGUGGUCUGGUGGUUUUUGGACACUAUGUUGAAGAAGAGGAAUUUGCUUUGUUUAUUGUUGGUGAUGAGAUUGUGUCGUUACUUUCAGGAUUUAGUAGCUCUUUUUUAACAUAAAUUUUGGUUAGGGGUUGAGCCCUUUUGAUUCAUGGAUGUUGUUGUUGGUGACGGACUCGUAACUAUGGAUCUUGGUAGGAAUGUGUGUUGUGAUGUAGUCAUCAUAACCGGUCGUUCCAUUACGAUAUGAUUUCUUUAUAUAAAUAAAAUUCUUGAUAUUUCUCCUCAAAAAAGUAAUAUGGUGAAAUUCUAGCAAUUUUCCAAGUGCCACCACUUUUUUAACUUGCUUUGUGGGUAUUGUUGAAUCAGAAUAUAGUAUGUGCUUUGAGCAUGAGCAUGACCGAUUUUGAAAUUCUAAGGCGGAGAAUAAAAAUAUAACUUCUUUAACAUGUAUAAUUUAAUUUUAUUUAGCAUGGAUAGUCGUACAAAAUUAUGUGUUUUGAAUAACAUGUUAAUGUAAAUAUAAAAUUAAUAACAAAAAAUACAAAAUUUUCCCAAUAUAUAUGGAUUUUUUUUUUUAAAGAAAAUAGACAUUAGUUCCAUAUAUUGAUAAUUGAAAGUAGGAAUAAAACAUAAACAUGAUUUGCCCUCUAGGGCACGUUAGAAUUGAACCAUGCAAAACAAAUUAGAGCUUAAGACCUAAGAACCUAAGCCAACCUAAACUAUUUAAAUGCCAUAAACCAUAAUACAAGGUCGAUAUAAAAUCCUGCUUUGCAACAAAAAAACUAAAUAACUGGCCGCCAAGACAUAAGUAGGAAGGGAUAAAUCCUCAACCCAUCAUUAUUUGAUUACUUCCAGGACCACCCUACGCAUAGGAGACAAUCUCAGAGCAUCAACACACCUAAUCAAAACCAAAGUCCCAACUAAAAAAGUGCUCUAGACCUACAAGCAGCCCUAAUCUAAAAACAAUAAAAUAAAAUCCAGAAAAUUAACCCAAACUAAUAGAAAAGGAAAAGGCAAUGAAAGGGAGACGCAGGAAUCGGGUUAGUUAGAAACUUAGAAUAAAGCCUGUGAGGCUUUCCGCUGGCUCCUCCUUAAGGUAUCAGCAACCAAAAUAUAAACCCCCAAAUGCUUUGUCACUCUCCUCAAUUAGGGUUUCCAAACAGAAGAGCCUCAUUGGAAUCGGACCGCCGAGACUCGUCUGCGGCGUCAACGUUGACCCCAAUACUCUCACAGUAAGUGAUUUAGCUCCACCCAUCAAACUAGUUCACUUUUACAAUUUCAAGCACUACUUUUCAUUCAAGCAUCCAAAACCCUUUAAUUAAUUUGGGGUUUUCUUCAAAGUUUCAAUCUUUGCGAGUGAAUGGUAGGAUUUUAUCAUGGGUAAAAGGUCUAUAGAGGAAAGACUAUGGAAAUCUGUUAUCUUUCUUAUCCAAAAGUGUUGCUUAGGUGAAGUUUUGGAUGGUUGAAUUUGGUGUAGUCUUGAAGUUUCUUGUCUGUUGUCUCUAUUGGAUGUUAGAUUGGGUGAGGGAUUUGUAAAGGCUGAAACUUUGUAAUCAUGUUGGGUAAUUGUAUUAGCUCAAAGUUGAUUUCAGGGUUGCUGCAAUGGAGGAUGCCCAAGAAGUAUCUGAGACAAUGUCAGAGAGCUCAUCAGGAAAGAUACAGGAAACUCGCGAUGAAAUGCUCUCCAGGCACAGGUAAUUUGUUGUUGAUUCUGUUGUUCAAUUUUUGUUUAUGGUCUUCGUAUUUCGCUGGUGAUUGCAUCUGUAGUGGAAAUAAGUUCAGUUAUAUACAUCUAAGUGGUCUUCAAACAUUUAAAUCAUCAUGUAAGGCAUAGUCUGUUUACAUUUUUUGAUGAAAGUUUGUGGUGAUUGAGACUUGAUCAUGACAUUCAAGCGUUAAGGAGCUUGUGUCUGCACUGAAACAAAUAUUCUCCUCCCAACACCUUUAUAAUCAUAAACUACCAUUCUCGGUUAAUGAUCUUUUGGCUGCUCUGCUGAAUGUGAAUUGCUUGUUGUUCUUACUUCGGUAUAUUUGUCAUUAUAAUUAGUUUACUGAAGACAAAGUAGUAGUAUAGAUUGUAAGAAUCAGGAAUAAUUGUAAGUUAAUAGAGGCUGGUGUCUUCAGCUUAUUAGGUCAACUUCUCUAACUUUACCAAAGACAAUUCAUAACGAUCCCCUCAGACAUUUGUUUUAUAUACAGGAAAGAGACUUCAAAGUUGCAGGACAAGGAAAUUCAAUUGAAAAAGGCAGCAGCAAAAGGUAGCAAGGCCGAACAAAAAGCUAAGAAAAAGCAGGUGGAGGAAGAGAUUUCUCGACUUUCUGCUGAGCUUAAGGAAAAACAAGCCGAAGAACUUGCAUUAUUAGGCUAUAGCAGCAGUAACAAUGGAGGUGAAAAGAGUAAUCUGGAUACUUUAGUGAAGGCCAUAGCUGGUGUUUCUGUCAGCAGUCAACCUGAGAGUGCAAAGCCUAGCAAGAGUUCAAAGAGAAAAGUGAAAAGGGCCCAGGAGGAUGCAGCAAGGGAGCAAAGAAUUCAAGAAGAGCAGAGCAACUUAGUAAGUGAUCGAAUGGUUGAGGAUGAGAAACUAGAAGAAAAGCUUGAACCCCUAGGUUUGACUAUCAAUGAGAUAAAGCCUGAUGGUCAUUGCCUCUACCGAGCUAUCCAGGAUCAGCUGGCCCACCAUUCUGGAGGCUCAUCCCCUUACACAUACCAAGAGCUUCGAGAAAUGGUGGCAGCUUAUAUGAGGAAGCAUGCACCUGAUUUUCUCCCAUUCUUCUUGUCAGACAACCAAGUCGAUGGUGAUUCUGAUGAAUCGCUUGCUGAAAGGUUUGAGAAUUACUGUAAGGAAGUGGAGUCAACAGCAGCAUGGGGAGGACAGCUAGAGCUUGGGGCUUUAACUCACUGCCUUAAAAAGCCUAUCAUGGUAUACUCAGGAUCAUUCCCUGAUGUGGAGAUGGGUAAGGAGUACAAAUCUGAGAGUGGAAAUGGUUCUGUUUCUAGUAUUAUGUUGUCAUAUCAUAAGCACGCCUUCGGGCUUGGAGAGCACUAUAAUUCUGUGGUCCCUAUAUAAUCAAAUAGUAGCAGCAUCCCCGACAAAACCACUUGGCUCGCCCUCUAGUUUGUAAUUUGUGCUGAGAAAAGGCACGAUUUGAGCUCCUUUGAUUCUUGAUACUGCGUUAGACAGUAGUGGUUCAGUGUUCCUUUCAUUUCCAAUUUCCCUGACUACGUUUUGUAGCUAAAUAUGGUUAAUGAGUAUUUGACCCUUUCAGAACCAUUUAUGGCUUUUGCUUCUUGCAGCCGUAUAUACAACUUGGGAUUGCCUACUCGAGGUAGUUCGAAAUAUCUUGUACUGUUUAAUUUAGCAUUCUGUGAUCUGCAGGUUAUGGACCAUCCAAAUAAAGUUGCUUGAUCUUAACCCCUAUAGCUUCACCAAAUCAAGAUUAUUAACUCAAGGCUUUAGGAUACAGAUGGUUUUUUAAACCCCUAGACUGAUAGGAGAAAAAGAAUGUAAUUCCUCUCUUAUUUUCUUCAUUUCUGAUACAAAUAUUAAAGAAUGUAUUCACUCAUUACUCAUCCUUAUUCUUUCAGAACCACUAAAUUGAAUCCUAAGAAAUCUGGAAAAUCAAUAUAUACUUUUGCAUAUAUUCUCGUACCUUUACCUUAUUAUUUUAUCAAAUGUAACUUACGGCAUGGCGUGUAAGGCAGUGGUAACUCCAUUAGAUUAUGGUAUGAUCUCUGGCGUUUACCUCAAGCUCUUACUGAUCUUGCUCUCCCUUAUGCUGUUAUUGAUGAAAAUGCUAUGGUAUUCAUUUUUUGGAAUGUUGAGGGCUGAGAUGUGGAUCUUCUUCUUUAUCUUCUUCCUCGUGAUAUUGUGAAUUCCAUUAUUAAUUUUCCAACUGGUUUUCAUAAGUGUGGUGAUGAUAUUAGAGUUUGGAGAUCUACUUUAAAUGGCCGGUUUUUCUGUAAAGUCUACCUAUAAUUCCCUUUUUGAUUUGUCUGAACAUAUGAAUCCUCAGUGGAGUGCCUUAUGGAAGUUUGAUUUACCCCCAAAAACUUAAGACUUUUUGGUGGACUUUUCUUCACAAAAAAUUGCUUACCAAUGUUCAGCGAGUAACUAGAGGCUUUGCUUCUAAUCCUGCUUGCCCCAUUUGUCAUUCUGUUGUUGAGACCUUGUUACACCUCUUUAGGGACUGUCCAAGAUCGAAGACUAUUUGGAGGGCUUUACUGGUUGCAUUGAUAAUUCCUUUAUUUGGAUUGGAAUAGAUGGAUUAAUGCUUCUUUUCACUAUCAUACUGCUAUUUAGGAUAAUAGUAGAUGGAAGUGCUUGUUUAUCUAUAUCUGUUGGUUUAUUUGGAAGUGGAAAAAUAAACCGGUUUUUGAGUCUGGCUUUGUUCUUCCUGGUUGCUUCAAGAAUUUGAUAUAGGAUUAUGCUAUUGAGUGAAAGAAAGCUAAGUUGAAAUCCAAUGAAAAUCCAUGUUCAGCUAUACUAUGCUAUGCUUUCAUGAAAAUGCCUCUUGAGAACUUUUUCAAGUUGAAUGUUGAUGGAACUAGGACUUCUCCUUCUGGUAAAAUAGGUGCUGGUGGUGUUAUUAGAAAUCAUUGUGGAGACUGGAUUAUUGGAUUUCAAAUUAAUUAUGGAGUUGGUGAAAUCUUGGAUGUUGAACCCUGGGGUUGUUUUCAUGGUGUAAAGUUGGUUGUUGAUUUGAAUAUCAGAAACUUAGUGAUUGAAUCUGAUUAUGCUGUCUUGGUUCAACUGAUGCUCAAUUCUGCUUUUGAUAUUCAUCCCCUGGGCUCCCUUCAUGGAUGCAAAAAUUUGAUGAACAAGAUGGAUGAUGCUCAGCUUUCUCACAUCUUUCAGCGAGUGCAAUGCCACGACUGAUUCUCUAGCCAAAUGCAGUAUCCUCCAUGAGCUUGGUCUUGUUUGUUUUGACAACCCUCCUGCUCAUGCUAUUGAUGCCUUCGUUGAUGACUUGUGUUCAGUCACUAGAGCUAGGAAAAUUGGCAAUUGUUUUAGUAUUUAGUCUAUUUUUCUAUUUCGUUUGUGCCAUUUACUCUUUAUAAAAAAAAAAAAUGUAACUUACAACAUCGCGCGGAAGGAAGUUCUUAGUUUCCUUGCUUAUUUUCAUUUUGAACUAGAGUAGGUUACGGAGGUCAAACCCAUUUCAUAUUAGAAAAUAAGCAAACCUAAGUUAUGCAUAAGCAUGGAGAAACAAAACAAACUUGAAAAUGAAGGCUUCCUCAUCAUCACAGAAACAACUUAAAGAUAUUUUUUUUAUCAACAAAAACUUAAAAUAUCUUUUGGUGAAUAAGAUAAGAUACUGAUGACAUAACCGGUUACAGAAAAUGUGACUAUAGAGAAAAUAUAAUAGAUUGAGUUGCCGAUAACGUCAUGAAAAUACGGAGCAACAAAUUUGGUUCUCGAACCGGUCAUUAAUAAUUUAUAUUUUUAAAAACAUUAAUUAUUUUAUGAUAUAACAAAGACAAAGUAAUCAAUAUCUAUGACUUCAUAUUGCUUUGCACAUCGGCAAAAAUAAAAAAUUAUCUCUCAGACAAAAAAAAAGAAAAAAGGAAAAGAUAUCAUCUUGCACGUUUUGGGGCUUGUAGCUAUUUUGUCAACAAGCGAUUUCCCAUUUCCAUCUCCUACCGCCACGUGUUACGAUUCAUGGUGAUUCUGCACAACAGCUCGUUAUUAUAUCACACCCCAAUCCCAUGAUUAUGGCAUGGAUUAACAAACCCGUAAUUUGUCCCCAAGAUCGUGGGCAUUUCCUUUAAUAACUAUUUAUGUUUGCCCCCACAAUUUCCAAUCCUAUCCACUCCGCUAAUAAUAAUGAGAUCAUAAAUCAGAAAAUAAAAAAGCCUAAAAAUAGAAAAUGAAGCCGGACAAGGUGGCUCUUUCUAUCUCCUCUACUACAUUCUCUCUCCCUCUCCUUCUCUGCUACAGUCCUAAUUUCCCUGACGAAACUGCCCCUCCCCGGUCCUCUUCUCCCUCCAGAUUCUUCUCCCAUCGGUCAAAGAUUCUCCGCGCUGAUCAGACAAGCUUCCUCUCAUUUUCUCUCAUGGUAAAACUGGUGCUGACGGCGACGGCGACGAGGAGGAGCUGGUGAGGUGGAGAUGGAUUUGACUGAGGGCGUCGGAGAGAGCUCGUCGCCGCCGAGGAGCUUUGUGAGCUUCAAUAACUACGAUGUGAGGAACGACGUCUAUAGCCGAUUGGUGGAGAGCGGUCAUCCUCUGGCUUUGACUCAACCGGACUUCCGUGACCAGUUGGACGCUCACUUCAAUCGCUUGCCUGCUAGGUAUCAAAUUCCUAAUUCCACGCUUCGAUCAAACCUUUUCCUUGUUUUCGGUUGCGAAAUUAGUUUUCGAAUGCUUAAACUGUAAAGAAAGAAGUUCACAAAUAACUUCAGGAGCUUCAAAAUAGUUAAAGUGAGUAUGAUAUGCAUUCCGAGGAGCUUCGGAAUAGUUUAGUGUUUUUGAUUUUUUGAGCAGGGGGAGGUUUGUUGUUAGUUUUGUAUUUCCGACUAUAUUACUGUACAAAGCUACUGAGCUACUGGUUUGACUAAUGUAACUAGUAUAAGAGUUUACAUAUGCUCUGUGUUUUAUCACGGAAUUAGCGGCGGAUUCUGCCUGUUAAUGAAAUUGUUCCUUGGGCAGUUAUGGGCUUGACGUAAACAUGGACCGAGUCGAAGAUGUUUUGCUGCAUCAGAAGCUUCUUGCGUUGGCAAAGGAUCCGGAGAAACGGCCUGUUUAUCAUGUCCGUUUCUUGGAGGUAUUACCUACCGUCUGAUUUAGUAUCUUAUGGGAGUUAUGGCAAUUUUGUUGUCAACUGGAAUUUCUUUAGUUUCUGGUGCCAAGUAUUAGUUUGUUUCCUGUUAUGCAAUAAAACAAGAGUAUUAGCUUGUGUUGUGUAAUGAAAACCAAGUUCUUAGAUUGUCUGCAUUGAAUGGGGAUGGAAAUGGUAUGUUUGAUACAUGUUUAUUCUGGAGGGAACGAUGGGUUAGCAUAUGUUUUAUAAAAAAUUUAUAUAUAUGGUAACCUGUUUUUGAUUACAUAUUGAUAUUGGGCCAUAGUGCCAUACUUAAUACUGCUUGCACAAGAAUGUUAAACUUUGAUUCCAUGCAAAGUGAAACCCUAAGUUUAUUUAUUCCCUUAUGCAUGCUCACUUAGAUUACUUUUUUCUCUUCGCUGUUACAUGUUCCAUCUUUUAUGGUUCUUUUGUGUAUUUCUCGUCAGAGCAUCUCUACGGCGGGGACGGAUGAUGAUGAGGAUGAACAAUUCACUACUAGUGUUUCAACCUCAAGGCUAUCAUGUAAUGAAAUCAAUGAGGGAUCUGCGCAACCACAUGAUAGGUAUUACUUCGUGCAGUCUUUGUCUGGACACUGUUAGUUAGUUCCAAUCCAUAUUUACUCGUUUAACUGUUCCGUUCUUGGAUAUUAAUUUGUUGCUGUAAUUUCUGUGUUUUUUUUUUCCUGGUUACUUCUCUGCGUAGAAUUAGGAAUUGUGCUGUUGACUUUGAACCUUGCUCUAGGCUCGGAGACCUAAAUUUGGACGUUAAAAAGAAUACUCAGGAUGUUGAUGAAAGAGAUCUGCUGGAGAGAUUUCCCAAAAGGUACUCAACAUUUUUUUUUUGCUUUUUUUUUUCUUUUGGUUGCCAAACUUUCUGUUUCCCUGUAAUUCUUAAAAGGCUAAAGACCAACUAUUAUUCAUCAAGACAAGAAUGUUCUUUUCAUUAGAAAGGUUUUCCUUGUGAUGCUUUAAAUCAUCUGUUUAAUAUUUUAGUACAGGAUUACAUUUCUGUAUUCUUUUUGUCGUGUUGAUAUUUCUGAUCGUUUGAAGAAUACAUUUUACAGAAGAGCAACUGAUAAUUCACAACAAUGAAUGUUUCCUAUCCUCUAAUAUAACUUCAGAUAUCUUUAAUUCAUGGAACAAAGUUUAUUAUUCUGUCAUGCAUUUUCUUAAACAUGCUUGUCCAUAUAUUGUAUAGAACUGUAUACCACAUCAUCCAUAUAUGCCUGUAUACCAUAUACAUAUGCCUGCAUACCAUAUAUGUCCAUAUAUGCCUGGUUGGACAGACAACAUGUAUCAAACAUAUUUUAUUUUCUACCCCUGCUUGAUUGAUAAACAUGAUGUCCAUAUAUGGUAUAUAACUAUAUAUGCAUAGUUUUGUAUAUUCAUGUAUGAAAUUACAUGACAUAAUUAUUUGUCAAAUACUAGCUAAGGGCUGAUUGUUUGGUUUGUUGAGUUAUUCUACAACAGCUCUGUAUUUUAAUUGUCCAUGAAUGUGCUUUAGAACUGAACUUUAGCCAUAUAAUUAAUAAUGGCGUUACAUUGACCAUUGGUUGAAUGAUGCAGGCAAGAUACAUCGCGUAUACUCACUCAUGAAGUAAUUUUUUCAUCCAUUGACAAGCCUAAGCUUCUUAGCCAGGUACUAGUCAGAGGCUUAAGUUAUUUAUUUGUUAUAUCUAUAUUAGCACCUAGGUUUUAUGUAUUUCGAUUCAAAAACUUCAAUCUGGCAGACUAGUCAAUAUUCGCUAUGCUUGUAUCAGUCAAUGUAGGCAAGGAAAUUGUUUGCCGUCUUAGCUGGAUUGGGCCUGGGCCUCCUCUUUAAUUGUGUGUACAUAAAGUCCGUGUUAUAUUCCUUUUUUGCAUCAGUAGCCCAAAGAUGGAUCUUUAUAACAUUGCAUUAUUUGAAAGGAUUUCACUCUUUCUGUUCCACACAUAGAAUUUUCUUCAAUGUCUCAAAAAAGGGAAAAUUUAGUGAUGUUAUAGGCUUUUUUAUAUAUCUCCUAUCAUUUUGUUGCUUCUUUACACAUCAAUUACAUUGUCUCUACGAAGUAGUUCUAAUGUAGCCCCAGUUUGGAUAACAAUAGAAUUUGGAGGGGACGAAAUGAAAAAAAAAAAAUGGGAUAAGACAGAGAUACUGAUGCAGGAAUAAUAUCAGAGGAUGAGUAAUAACCAAGAUUCAAGCAAUGCUAAUUUUUCAUACAUUUAAGUUCUUAUAUCCCCAAUUGGGAUAUAAAAUAGAAUCUUGAGGGGAGGAAGUAGAAGGAGUGGGAUAAGAAAGAGAUAGGGAUUCAGGAAGAAAUAUCAGAGGAUGAGAGAUAACCAAAAUUCAGGCAAUGAUUUUGUCAAUCCAUUCUAGUCUGCGAAUGAUGAUUACAAUGCUCAAAUUUAGAGAGCUCUAACUAAGAUAUAGUAAGACCCUGCAUGAUUAAAGUACAAAGAUAUCCGUACCCUAGACAAUAAUUGUAAACAGGAUAUGUCAUAUACAUUCUCCUUUGGUGACAAAAAUCCCGACUCUGUCUAAUGAAGUAAGGUGAUAACAGAUGAAAUAGAUCGUGUUUGUGUUCAGUCGCAUUGUCAAGACCAAUGCCAUGGAGCUGUUCAAUAGUUGCUGGACUGAAUAUAAAAGUCAAAUCAAAUUGGAGACUAUGCCCAAAAGAAGGUGGAUUAAUGAAUUGCAGCAUUGUUUACUUAUGAAUUCUGUAGGCUCUAAUGUUUGUUAUGUAGAGAGAUGUGAUCAGUAAAUCUUUGAAUGGGAUAGACAGAUUCUUGAUUAGAGCAGCUUGCUCUAAUAAAGCGAGACGGCUUUAGCGUAGGAUAAGUCAUAUAGGUCCAAGAAUAGGAAUAGUCUAGUUGCCGAUUUGGAAAAUGGUCCAAAUUCACAGCAAUCUGGGCCAAAAUGCUAUUCAUUUCUAUUGGAACUAGUGAAACCUAUAUGUCAAAGUAGGACCAAUUUCAUCAAGUGGAAAAUAAUCAGAAGGAAUAAGCAUCAGAAAGAGAUAUCAGAAAAAGAUAUCUGCAGCAUGAAGAAUCAGAGGGAGCUAUACUCAGGGUUAAAGCAGUGAUUAACUCUCCAUCAUUUAUUCAGUCCAAUUGUGCAAAUAACAAUUACAAUGCUCAUAGUUGUAGAAUCUUACGUAAUUGUAAAAUAGAUGUACUCUAGAUAAUGAUUACACAUAAAAUACAUCAAUAUAUUCCGUCCUGCGUCAUCUUCCACUGGUGAUAAGAUUUCUGCUCAAUUGACGUGAGGCUGGAACAUUGUCAUCUAGCCAACAUCACAGGGGUGCUCAAGUUUAAGUGUUCCUUAAUCGAGUAAACAAGUGAAGAAGUACGGAAAGUGUAGAAAAGAAGGUGGGUAGAAGACUUGCCACAACAGGUGUUGUCAUAUGACGUCCAUAAUUUCAAAUUGCACAGUAGAUGGGAUCUGUGCAAGCAUAGGAUCAAUAGUUUAUUGGUCUGCAGUAGCUUGUUCAAUUAAAGAGCGGCCGCUUGGUUAAUAGUUAAGUGGACUUGGCUUGGCUAGACAUAGGAUGGGACCUGUAGACCCAGGAAUGCUAAGUUAAUUUAGCGAUAGUGGAAAGCAUCUGAGCCUUGAUAAUGCAGACAGCUUGGAAAAUAUAUCGGUCAUUUCUAUGUGAAACAAUUUUCUAUAAGAAUAGGCAGGAGGGAAUGCUGUUUUUCACGUUUCCUGUACUAUUUAUUCUUGUGAUCUGUACAGUUUCCAUAACGGCGUUGCAUUUUGGAAACUUUUUCAUGAGUUUGUUACUUGUUGGGACAUAUAACGUUGUUUCCAUGUGAAGGUAUUUUAUUUAGUGGCAAAUUAUGUACUUUUUCCUCUUCAUAGUUAUCUGUUCCCUUUCAAGUUUUAACUCAAAACCCUGAAUAUCGAAGAUACUUUUAAGACUUUUGCAUCAAGAGAGGCUCUCUAUCUUUAAUAAAUCGUGGAUGGAAGUCUCUCACACAUGAUUACUUUGUUUCAAUAUAUAACCUCUGCGUUCUGCAAAACUUGGCAACUGAUUUUUAGGGGUUGUAACACAUUUACUUUCUCCUUUUUUUGUUUUUUGUUUCCUUUUUGUUAUCUUCAUAAUGUAUCUUACUCACCAUCUGUCAGUCAAAUUAUAUUUUUCUCAUGUUGAGAAUCUUAGAGAAUUCCAGAGUUUCAUUUCAAGAGCAAACAUCUUCUAACAGAUGUCCUUUUCCUCUAGCUUUCUGCGUUACUUUCAGAUAUAGGACUUAACAUCCGUGAAGCACAUGUCUUCUCGACCACUGAUGGCUACUCCUUGGAUGUAUUUGUGGUGGAUGGAUGGCCUGUUGAGGUACUUUCUCACUAUUUGAUGUGUUUGUUGUCGUACAAUGUCAGGCUUUUGUAUCUUGAAGUUGUUUCAUCUUCCUUUUGUUAAUAUAAUCCUUGCUAAACAUUGGUAAUACAUGUUUUCCCCGUGAGGGAAGAGUUCAAUUUGGUUGGUUAUGGUCUUUGUUGUACUUCUGUUGGCGUUAUAUGUACUGUAAUGUAUUUUGUGCUAUGCUAUUGUAUGCAUGCCAACCACUGUGAGCCAGUGUUUUUAUCUGUCUUUGAAGUUGCAUCUGCAUGAAGUAGUUAUAAAGGUUGUUCCAUAUGAUAGAAUUAUCCGUAAUAUAUUGUUAUGAAUUUUAAGUUAUAUAAAAUCCGUUAGUUUAAUCAAGCUGCAAAUUAUCCAAGGGAAACGUCUUUCUUAUAUAUUAAGGGGCAGUGCGAUUAUAUUUCUUUUAUGACAGGGAUCUGUGCUGAGUCCAAAUGUUGCUGACUUUGCAAUCUUGUGGUCAGGAAACAGAUGGUUUAAAUGAAGCUAUGGAAAAAGCAGUUGCUAGAAGUGAGGUAAACUACGUCAUAUUGUAAACCUUCUGAAUGUUGUUUGCUUUCUUUUUUCAAGUGUUUCAUCUAGUGCUAUAUGAAUUUUCUCUUUCUGCCAAAAAAAAAGUGGUUCAUCUUGGUGAGUGGAGCACUGCUUAUUGUACUCAUUCUAAAAUAUGAAACAGCAUACAUUUUUUUAUAGAGUUUAUAUCCUUCGGUUAUUGUUUCCUCCAGACCUGAUAACCAGUCCUCUUUUUUUGUACUUUACCCUUGUAACUUUAGGAAUGUGUGGAGAGGAAUGAGAGUAUAUAGGAUUAUAGGGUAAUUAUCAGAAGUCUGCUCUUGGUAGUACAUUUUUGAAAUAUGGGAUGAUAUUCUGAAACUUUUUAUUUUAUUUUUCGUUUUGGUGCUGCAUCUAUCUGUCCAGUAGUGUUGGAAGCAGCUGUUUCCCCUGCUUUUUAGAAAUUGUUUAUUCUCAUAUUCUGAUCCCAGUAGAGCACUUCAAUAGGUAUCCAGUGUAAUCUUCUGCUUGAUGAAAUUGAUUAUGAAAAAAGAUUUAAAUUUUCUUUUAAACAUGUUAUUCAAUAAUUUAGGGAUCGUGGUCAAGAUCUUCACAUUCCCAUUCAGCUGGAGAGAAAAUGAUUUUGGCACAAGAAAAACCUGGAAGCUGGGAAAUAGACAGGAGACUGUUGAAGAUAGGAGAAAGAAUUGCAUCUGGAUCCUGUGGAGAUUUGUAAUAUUGGUUUUAUUGUUGGCAAUAUUUAGUUAUUUUAUAUUUAUGGUCUGUGCUGAUCAACUUUAGCUCAUCUUCAUUCGCAGGCACCGUGGAAUUUAUCAUGGUCAAGAUGUUGCUGUUAAGAUUCUACGAUCUGAGCAUUUAAAUGCUGCUCUAGAGGAUGAGUUUGCUCAAGAAGUGGCCAUUCUAAGGUAAGUAAUGCUGUUUUAUGGUUAUGCCGUUCUAUCUUGAUGUGCAAUUCACAUGAAAUAGCAAUUUCUAGUUUUAGUGUAUUGAUUUGUUCUUCCUCACUUGUAAACAUUUACAUAUUUUUUCCUACUGGAAGGAACAUGACAGUUUAAAAAUUUAAUUGUCCUAAAUCUCAUAAACUCUUGGUGGUUAGAGGAAUAAAUUCAUAUUUAGUGUCUCCCAAACAUUGAGAAAACUGAAGCAUGUCUUCGAAUGUAUUUUCAAGUCCAAGAGAUACACAUUCUUAUUUUUUUCACUUCGAUUUGUUUUGUUUUUAGUUUUAAGAUUAGAGUUAUAACUGUGUAUAUGCAUUACAACACUUUCUUAUGUCUUCAGUAGGUUGCCACAUAAGUCUAUCAACUUCUUAGAAAUUACUUUCCCGGUUAGAGAAGAAAAUUAUUUCAUUUAUAUUCAUGUAAGAUAAGAUCUGAAAUCAGUAUGACCAGUGCAGGGUGAAAUGUUUGAGAUGAGGUAUACUAUGCGGCUUAUCUGGAUACCAAUUUGCGUACCCAGUGAAUAAAGACAUAAUUACAGCGUCCCUUUCACGUACCCAAUUGAUUCCUCAACCACCGUUGCCCAGCUUCCAUGGGAUUUUAUCCAAGGGUAGAAAAUAAUGAGGUAGCUUCCAUUGGAGUAAAUUAAUUUGUCUUAUUAUUCUCAACACUGGAUUUACAUCCAGGGGUAGUUCAGCAACGCUAUGUACGGAAUCAAUUGAGUAGUUGAACUUAGACUAUAGUUACAUCUAUACUUUGUUCGGAGGGAAGCCUUUUUAACAGAUUGGGUAUCCGAGAAAAUUGUUCAUGUUUUCUGCCUUUUUAAUGACAGCAAAACAGAUGGUUGGAUAGCCUAGAGGAUGGGUGUAUGAAUAGAUCUGGUGUUGAUGUAUAGAUAAAUUUGGUUAUUCAUGCGAUCUGUUAUGAUCCGACUAUGCUAACAAACUUAGGACAAGAUAUGGAUUUGAGCUGAUCAGGUCCUGUUUUCUAAAUUAUAUUAUUUAUUCUAAAGGCUAGUGUUAUUAACACACCCUUUUGUGUUAUUAACACACCCCAUUUAUAAUGAGGGCAUAAGAUGAAUGCAAUAAAAUAUUAUAAUCGUUACUUAAUAUGAGUGAAACCGUGGAUGUCAAAGGAUUUAGUUAUCAAUAAUCGAUCAGACUGGAUCCAAUUUAGGCUGAUUCAAUCUGUUGACAGUCUAUAUACUAUUGUUAGAUAAUUAAUUAUUCCAUGACUGCAUGUUACCCAUAAAGGUUGCAAGUACUUGGAAUUCACAAUGGAUAUAAUGUACGUCUCUUUGAGAACUGGAUACAGUUCUGAAUGCCUUCAUAUCGUAAGCUCCUAUCUUUCUUGUGUGGCUGUAUGUAGUUUUUCAGUCACUCUAUUUUUAGCCAAAUUGUCAUGCUUAUGGCUGUAAAGUCUGUUCAAAUUAAAUGGCAAAUUGACAUAUUUUUCAACAGUAAAUCUCUCACACAGUUGUAUAUACAUAUGAUGUUGAUAGCAAGUCAAUUGUUGAUUGCAGAGAGGUCCAUCACAGAAAUGUUGUGCGUUUUAUUGGUGCAUGCACGAAGUCUCCACAUUUAUGCAUAGUGACAGGUACAGAGUUCCUCUAGUUGUUGUAUCCAGUUUUCUAAAUGUUGUUUUCCUUCACUUGGAGAGAUCUUCAAUAGAAAUGCAUUUGAGAUUUGAGAAAAAGAUAAACAUAAGGUGUGAAACAUAUUUUCUUAUUAUUAGGUUUAGCCGUUUAGGUUUGUAAUUUCCAUAAAUAAGGAGCAACAAAAAAAAAAUUAAGUGAGAGAAGAUGAGACAUAAAAUUUCACGAUUAACCAAAGACAAAUCAACCCAAAAUAAAUUUUUUAAGUCACCAAAAAGCAACCACUCUAGAUACGGUACCAGCACUAGUCAAGUAAAGUUAAUUCCAAGUAUCAUUCAAGUUGAACUAUUUUUGUUGUAUAUCUUGUUUCAGCUAGUUAGCUGUUCGGAUGUCAUGCCUAUUAGCCCUUCCCGACAUGUCGAUUACUAAGUCACUCAUAUAGCCUUUGGCCUCAUGUUGCAAAGCAUAAAACCUCAUGGUGAUUGAGCUUUUAGAUAAACAGUUCCUGAACUCAUAUAGUAUUCUUUCAGUCUUCUGCUCCAACAAUUAUUCUAUUCAAUCAAUGGUUCUGGUAACGAAACCUUAUGGUUCACUUGUCCUCGUCUGUGUAAAAUUAUUGAGUCAGUAGUUUGCAUACUUCAAUAAGAAUGUAAACAAGUUCAGUGUGUGGUUUUAGGUUGGUGCUUUGUUAUCAAUUAGAAAUCGCUUUGGUCACUGGAUCAAGUUAAUCACUACCAAGGCCAAUUGCAGAUUCUAUUUGGUUUAUUUAUUCUGGACAUGUUUAUCUAUGUUAUGUUUGGUCGUUUAUAGCUAUUCCCUUCUUAGUUAAGUUAGAAUGAUACUAAGGCAUGGGACAGAUUCCAAUACAGUCGACCUUUGAAUUUAGGAGGCUUCCUACUUGACAGCAAGGUUAACUAGUUAAAAAGGAAAUAUAAUAUAUCAGGCGGUAUGUGUGUUAAAAAGGAAAUAUAAUAUAGGUGGUGUGUGCUUUAAUCAAGUAGAUUGUAGAUUAAUUGGGAUAGAGUUUAAAGAAGUCAAUAACUAUGUUCUAGAUGAUUUUUAACUCAUGUAUUCUUUUUUGUUUUUCUUGGGUUUAGAUCCAGGUAUUAUGAGUCUUUAUAGUCUAAAGCAAUUUUAAUUGAAGGGUUCCUUGUGUUGGAACCAACUUCUCCCAAGUGGGCCUUAAGUUAUCUGGCCUGUGUAGCUUUGUGUUAUCCUCGGUAUUUUAAAGGAGUUUCUUCCCAACAGUCCUUUUCAGAUUUUGUUGCUUAAGCACACGGAUAAUGAAAUUUAAAUCGUGUGCGCUUGUUUUUGAAACUAUGUGAUGUUCCCGGCCUACCUGUUCUAAGUAUAUCGACUGACUCUUUGCAACGAACUAUUGUAACUUGGUUAACUUUGAGAAUAAUCCAUUCUUUUAAUUUAAUUAUGGUAAUGACCUCAUGCAUUGUUGCUGGCAGAGUACAUGCCUGGUGGAAGUCUCUAUGAUUAUUUGCACAAGAGUCGUAAUGUCUUGAAGCUUUCUGAACUGCUAAAGUUUGCAAUUCAUGUGUGCAAAGGAAUGGAGUAUUUGCAUCAUAAUGACAUCAUCCAUAGGGAUUUGAAGACAGCAAAUCUGCUAAUGGACAGUAACAAGGUAAGAAUUCAUAAUGGUAGAGUUCUGCCACUUCACGGCUAGAAUGAUCUUCUGCAGUUCAACUAUUUCAAGCAAAACAGAAAAUAAAGCAGUUUAACUUCUAACCAAACCAUAGUGCUAUGAAGAAAUGGAACCUGGUGACGUGCUUGGCACUGUUAUAAACUUAUAACCUUAUAAUGAAGUAGAAAUUUGUUAUUAUCAUCUGUAAUUAAUAUGUUAUAGCUGUUGGUUUUUCAGUUUUUCUUGAAUUUUGGGAGAGAAUAUCUUGGUCAACUAUUUCCACUGAUACUGACAUCCACUUUGUUUGAAUCAUUUUGUUGUCCUUUAAUUUAUGUUACUUUUAACCAAACAAAAAAGAAAUAAGUUAUCCAAUAUUUAAUCCAUGAUAGGAACUAUCUCAGCAGUAGCUUUCUAUAUUGGAGUCUUGGAAAAUUAACGUUCUGACUGAUGUGAUUUAUACUCCCAUUUAAAAUUUAUUUUGUGAGCAAUAAAUUGAAAAUUUGUGUAAUCCAUUCAUCUUAAAUAUCGUAAUAUGUUUCCCAUACAUCUAAUAUCGUAAUAUUGUAAUAUGUUUCCCAUAUAUCUGAUUUGUCUAAUUGUCUGUCAUGUCUUCUCUAAGGAAAACGAUACCAAAAAACUUUUUAUCAUUCAGCUCAGGAUGAGAAAAUGUUCUCCAUUUUAAAAAUAGUAACUUUUUGGAAUUCUGUUAGGUUGUAAAGGUGGCCGAUUUUGGUGUUGCUCGGUUCCAAACACAAGGGGGAGUAAUGACUGCAGAGACUGGAACCUAUAGAUGGAUGGCACCUGAGGUCUGAUUCUACUAAAUUUAAAUGCUAUUCUCAAUCUUUAAAUCUGUAAGAUCUAAGAAAAUUAGUAUUAUUGAUGUUCCAAGUUUCAAUCUCUCGACUUUCUGGUUUUGCAUUAGUACAUUGUACUGUUAUUGCUUCAAUAGGUAGCGAAUGCCUAUACUAUUUUUUUUUUCCUUUUCAUACAUUUCAAUGACUUUUGGUUUCAUACAUUUUGCAAGGUUAUUAAUCAUCAACCAUAUGAUCAGAAAGCAGAUGUGUUCAGUUUUGCCAUUGUACUUUGGGAGCUGGUCACAGCCAAAGUAUGUGUUGCAUAUCACUCCUCUCUUUCUAUGCGUGUCUGCAGGGGCAGCCACAUGUUUAGGAUAUAGAGUAAUUUAACCAGUAAAUUUUGGUUUUGCAGGUUCCAUAUGAUACAAUGACUCCAUUACAAGCUGCCUUGGGAGUUAGACAGGUUAUGGUUAAUCUGAAUAGUUUUUUUGUUUAUUUAUACAAGGUGGUGACAUACACAUGUUUUAACAUAAGUCAUGGUUGAACUUUAGCAUUUUCUCAGUGACAACUUCUUGACUUACGAACUUGAUAUGAAUAGAUGUCACAUAAACAUUUGACAUGGUUAUCCUUUCCUCUGUUUACCUCUCUUCCCUCUCUUUCUAUACUUCAUUUUAUUUUGAAAAUGAUAAUACUUGAUGCACUUCAUCGUCUUCAUUUCCUCCGGCCAAUAAAAUACAAAUAGGGGACCCACCAUACACCCUCACAAGUGUUCUACCACCUAACACAUCAUGUGUUCUUCUGUCCAGAGAAAAGAGCUAUCACGGAUACAAACUAUCUGAGAAUCCCUUCUGUAAAUAACUUCCACUUCAGACUUGUAGCAUUCGGGAAAUCAAUAAGAUGUGUUCUGCAGGUCCUCUUAAUUCUACAUAUAUGCAUCAAUUGGAGAUUAGGAGUACCUGGUUUUCUAUUUUGAACAAUGUCCUCAUGUGUUAGCUUUCCCCUUAUUCAAAGCUGUUACAUAUGCUGCGAUAACGACAUAGGAAAGGGCUAGACAAUAGAAGAAUAUCAGGUUUCUGUUGGUAUUUGUUGAUUUGCUGCUUGUAUGCCUUAGGCAUACAUCAAUCGCUAGUAUGCCUUAGGCAUACAUCAAUGGCUUUGAAAGUCUUGUUGGUGUAGAGAAUGAGGAUAAUCCGUUGAAUCAUAAACUAUAUUACAUGUUUUUCUUGCUAACAUUGUUUUUCAUUUUGUUUCUCAGGGUCUGAGACCUGAACUUCCUACUAACGCACACCCCAAACUGUUAGAAUUAAUGCAGAGAUGUUGGGAUGCAGUUCCUUCCAACCGGCCAGCUUUUUCUGACAUAGCAGUAGAACUUGAGACCCUCGCACAAGAAGUCCAGGUAGGACUCUCCGUCUGAUCUUCCUUUCUCAGGCCUCAUUGUUCUAUAACCUUCCUGAACUUAAAAGCUGGUUUGUUUCAUGAAAUCUCAGGGUAAUUCAGAAGCUGCAAAUGGCACGUGAGACUCAACUCUAAGAUGUGUGCAUCUCAAAAAUUUUCUGGAAUGUCCAUCUUCUCUUUUUGCAACAUUCCAACCGGCUCAAUUUAGGCGUUUCGGAAUUGGAUUAGGACCUUGUUUUUUUGGCAGGUUUUUCAGAUGAAUAUAGAGGUUAUAUUGUACGAGCAAAGAAAAGAGAAAGUAAGGUGUUUGAAUAUCGUUCUGGUCUGUUUUGAACUCUUUUAAGUAUAUUGUAAAAAAAAAAGUGCUUUUGAGUACGGAAAUGUAUACUUUUCCACUAGAUAUCAUGUAAGAAAGUAACAGUUUGGUUAGAUGGAAAGUUUGGUGUCAAUGUAAUCCCAACACGAUGUGCAAUUGUGUUGAAUAGUUGUAAAUUUACCUCUUUGUCUGUAUAUUUCAUCUAUCUAGUAAUUUGGUAUUUUCAGAAACUUGUGAGGCUGAAGUUGCAUGUUCUACAGAUGAAGUUUCAGUUUUCAACACAUUUGCAUACUAUACACAACGAGAACCACCAGAACCUAGUCUCCUCCUUUGAGACAUAUCACAUCUGUUUACAAUGUCUCUUGAAACUCGAACAUAACGAGUAAACUCCUUGUGGCAGCCAUAUCACACUUCACUAUUUAAUGCAUCAACUUCAAAAGCCUAACCAAUGGCCGUUAUUGACUGGGAUUGUACGUCGAUGGGUUUUAUCGAGAACCAAAAUUGUCUUUAACAUGUCCAGGAAGCUCACAGCUGGGAAGAAAUUAAGAGUUAGCUGAUCAUUGCAGAUGCAUUGUUGCUAGCUUGUGCAUUAUAUAUGAGAGAUCAAUGCAAUGCCAGAAUGGUGGCGUUAUAUCCCAGUGUGUUGACGUGACUGCCAAAUUGUCUCGUAGUUGGUGAUGGGAAUGAGAUACACUAUUUAAAUGCCAGUUGUAUUGAAUCCAAAUUUGAAGAAUUGUAGUCAUUUGUCUUCCAUAUAUGAGAUUAUGAGGUGCUAGAGAUGCAAACACACAAAGACUUGGCUAAUAUGACAUUAAUAAUUCAUUCUUGAAAAUUACUCCCUCCAUCACAACCGAUUUUUCUUUUUCUUUUAUCUUAAAAUUUUUUAAGAAGUUCUAGUUGAGUGAGAAACCUGAAACACGAAGCCACCCAAAUUUCUUCCAACAUAUUUAAGCCUAGUUUUCAUAGUUCAUGUCUUGAAUCAGUUAAAUGUCAAAAAGAUGAACUGUUGGUAAUAUUUAUCUUCUAUCAAGUUCCUUUGGUGAAAGUCAACUAAUUUCGGGCUGCUCUCUAAUUAAUCAACUGAUUUUCCCGCUACAAUACAAGCAAAUGAAAUGAGCUGCCCCCUUCGCCCUCUCUUGGAAUAUUAUUUGUACUACCGAGCCUGGACUAUAUAUACCUCCCCCAUUAGGAGAAAAUCACUCUUCUCCCCAGAUAACAACGAUUUUCUAUCAUCCAUUGUGAUUUCAUCUUAAGUCGUACCUGCGUACACUUUCCAUCACAUAAUCGUUUAUGAAAGAAUCUCAUCUUAAAUGGUACUUGAACUUUCUGUCAAAUACCUUAUUCGAAAAUGAGCAAACAUGUCAUCAUUUUGAGAAGUUGCUAUAUAUGCAAGUCAAGAAUAAACACUGUAUUUUCAGUUAAAUCUUAUUGUUCAUUUAUAAAUACUCAAAUCUUCUUGUUUAGAAAGACAACAAAGGUGUGUUGAUGUAUUAACUCAUACUAGAAUUUUCUCUUGUUUUGGUGAAAAGAUCAAUGGGUAAAAUUUGUUGCCUAAUUAACCACUUGUUCCGAGUUCCGGAUUUCUUGUUUGCGCUGUCCGGGAAUCACGUACUCCCUUUUUACUUCAUACUUCAGUACUUAUCAAUUAGUCCACCAAUUCGGGUUGUUUCUAGUGUAAUUUCAACCAUUGACUAGAGCUUUAGCAUCCAAAUUCAAGCUAACAAUAACAAAACUUGAAUUUGACACUCCAUAUAUGCAUGUUUGGUGGAAAAUACUUGGCCACUCGAGAACAGACUGUUGCCUGCCGACAAUUUUUACUCAAAUAUUUCAAAAUUCUUCAUGGACAAACUAAAAUGAUGACAGAAAGUACCGUGGUAGUACAAUUACCCGCAUGAACGUAACACUCAAUCAUAGUGUCCCCCUCCUUUCCGGUGGUAAAUAAUUGACUCUUUUCCCUCAAAAGAAUAAUAGCUGUUAACUUUUCCCUUCAAUGAAAUCAUUUGUUUAUGAAUAGGCUUUACGUACCUUCGUUUUUGAAUUGUAGUUAAUUUUGGCUUCACUGGAACAUCGAUCUAACCCAACAGAGAGAGAAACGUACAGUAUUAGAAUUCUCAACAUAACUAGCUUGAUAUUGACCUUAAGAAUUCUCAACAGUAUUAUACUCCGGCAUCCCAUGCUGAAUAAGAAACCCUAUUUCUGCGUUCAAUUAAUUAUCAAACAUGCGAGUAUAUAAAACUAUGCGGCUCCCCGAUUAAUUUGUUUCUUGGUUCAAUUAUGGGAACAAAACUAUGUCGCAUCAAACUGGAAUAUAACUUCGUAAUAGUCAAUCUAGAUGACUAGAUCCACCCUGUAAGUCCAUAUAUAUCAAUCCCAGCUGGAUACCAGAAAUAUGAAAGUGCGACUACGACCAUUAGUCAUGAAACAACAAAACAUGUCUUUCUUUUGGUUUGCCAAUUCUAACACAAUUAGAAAAACUUAAUCAUUUUGGAGAUUGCCAUAAAAUACAUGAGAACUAGCUAGCUGCACUGAAUGUGGCUGAAAUGUUGGUGAUGAUACAGUUUUUUUUAGAAGACACAAAAGUUUUGGUCCUUUGGCGUUUUCUUGUUAACAUAACCAACAUUCCAGCCACAUUCAUCAUCUCUUAUAAAUAUAUUUUACAAAAUAUAUAUUUAUAUAUGAUUUUUUUGACAAAAUAUAUAUUUAUAUAUGUCUUUUUUGUUUAAUCGGAGAAACAAAAUCAUUUGUAAAGUCUCCUUUUACAGAUGGGUUCACGUACACAUUCAUCAUUGCAAAUGGUAUUGUUAAUUAGCCGACAUAUAAUUAGCCGAUAUAUGUACGUAAUCGAAAUCAGAAUAAGCUACCUGCUCCUCAAAUUAAACUAUAAUUAAGUUUGUAUUUUAUGGUUUGGUAAUAAAAAAGAUAACAAGGUACAGAAUACGACCUUUCAGAAGAGCGAGGAGCGAGGUUGUUUUGUUAGAAUAGAACUUUUCCAUGGAUCGGUGGACACGAGGUCAGAUCGACUUGCUAAUUGUUUACUUAUAGUUUUAUAUCAGACCAUAUGUACUAUAAUUAAGUCGAUUAUUGUUCUAGUUUAUAAUCAAUGUAUGUUAUUAUAUGAUGUCCGAUUGAUAUUUGUAGAGGCAUAUGUGGUACGUGAGGUUUGGGGGAGUGAAGACUAGCUACGCUCAGCACAUGAACAUCACACGCAUCACGGUCUGCCUUAUUUUCCUUCAGAAAUGAGUCAAUGACCAUGUNNNNNNNNNNNNNNNNNNNNGAGAGAGAGAGAGAAAAAUAGAAGAAUCUACCUAUUUUACCUAUUUUGUGGACCUUCUUUCGAUCUAUAGCAAUCAAAUUGACAAAAGUCCAAUUAGAUAUGGCCUUUUUCUUUUAUUUUUUUAAAUAUAACAAUAUAACAAUGAUAAGAGAAAUUUUAUUAACGCAUCCCUAAUUACUAGAUACAAUUACUAGAUACAUAUCUCAUACUUAAUAUACCUAUUAACUUUCUUGUUUUAACAUUUUACUAUGAUACACAUACCAAACUUUCUACAAUACCCUCAUUUAACAUACAUAACUUAUUCACUAAAUUUAACAUACACAACUCAUUCACUAAAUACACAACACAUUUACUACACAUACUUUUCUAGAUCGGCUACACAAUUUAUUCAAAAAAUAAAUAAAUCAUAUUACUGAGAUUUUUCUCAAAAUGUUUAUCUUUCCUCGUAUUGUUUCACCUUAUUGACAUAUUCCUCAAAUGUUUUUAUUUUUUUCUCUAAAGGGUUUUACCUUGUUAAGAUCUUCCUUGAGGGAUUUCCUUUUGUUAACAUCUUCUCCCAUUAGUCUUCCUCGAUAAAUUUUCUUCUGAAGGAGCCUCUGCUUACUCAAAUUGAUUUCAAGAUUUCUUACCGAAUCAAAACAAAACAAGAUAAUACAUCACCAAAGUCCUUAACGGAACUUUUAGUAUUAGAAUGUACGUUCAAUCCUGUGUAAAACUAAAUUAAUCGAUUCUUGGGAACCAUUGCAUAAUAUUCAUAUGUGGUGUCAAAAUAUUGUUACUCGAUUCAAGCUAAAAAUUUAAAAUGUUUGAAGUGAACGUUUUAAUUAAACAAAAUAUUUUAUUUCAACUAAGUUUCUUUACCUUUGAUUUGAAUGUCUUUUUUGGUUUUACGUACCCACAAAGUCUUAUAUAAUUUAUAUAAAAAAAAGAGAUGUAUAUUUAGCAUUUAGGGAUGUGUUAAUAAAAUUUCUCCAAUAAUAAUAACUACUUAUUCUCUUUAGCAGCAAAAGCCAAAUAGCUAGUUUCCCUAUACAUACACUGAUGCACAAUGUGUCUUUUUUAUUAUUAUUAUUGAAAUGAAUGGUUCUUUAAUUUCUUUCUUUCUUUUUCUGAAGUUGCCCUGCUAGCUAGUUACAUAUAUACUUGCAUAGUUGCAUGUCUUUGUAUGAGUUGUGCUUGUGCAUGCACUUGUAUAUUCUUACUUUCGCGUAGCUAGCUGGAUGAAAAGAGAUAGAUAGACACCAUCUCCAAUUCGCACAGAAUCUUGAAAUAACGAGCUCGACAACGAUGAGAAUCCAAUAUCUGUCCAUGAAAAUGAGAUAUACCUAGCUAUUAUUAUGUUCUUGUAUUAGGAAAUUCCCGAAUUAAGCAUAUAUAGCAAAGUAUAAAUGGACCCUGUAUAUAUAGUGGUCACAUAUACAAAGUUGAAGCAUUAUAGUUUAUAUAUAUAUAUAUAUAUAUAUAUAUAUAUUGAUCAAAUGAAUAAAAGUCAUAUAUUGGUUCUACAAACUAAACUUAGGGGAUCGAUAUAGUAAAACUUCAUGAGAGCCCUGGCUGUAAAGUUAACAUCUGCAUCUACAUUACUUUAGAAUCAUUUUCCAACAAGAUUCUCAUGUAAACAAAUUAUAAGAUAGAUGUAGUUGAUUGACAUCACUAUCAUGGUAACUAAUUCAUGUUUUUAAUUUACAAAGAUAUUUGUGAUAGAUUACAUAUAUAUGUAUCUUCAAGCUGGAUUCACAGAAUAGAUGGCUUGACUUUGAAAUUAAGAGGGAGGGUGGAACAAAAAUAUAAAACCAAUUAAAGAAACAUAUAUAUGAUUAAUUGAAGGUGGUUUUGCAGACAUUGUUUUGAUCUGAAAAUAUUGUUCCAAUUGAAGAUAAGAUAACGUUAUCAAUCAUAGUGACAGUGCAGAGGAAAUUUAGAUGCCCCGAUUUUCCUCCUACAAAUUUGAGAAGAAAUUAAGAGAUCUGUUUAAAGUCGACAUUAGGCACUAGUCCAUGCAUUCCAGCAGACCAUAUGAGAUCGUUGCCAGGUCCCAUGGAAUUCUCAAUCAAACACCGAACGAUUUGUUUCGUAGCAUUUAAAUUAUGAAGAAGAAGUGAGAAUGAGGAUGAUUAUUCAACUAACUUCACUAUCCAACAAUCUUUUCUUAGGUAUACAGAAAUGGUCUAUAAAUGGAAGUCGAUUGUGGUCAACAUCACCCAAUUGAAUUGGGAGAAAUUAAAUAUACGUGGACACAUUUCACUCAUAUAGGGGAGCAGAUUCAAUACACUAAUGUACAUUUGCACUAUCAAUGUAAAAGUCACAUGAUUGAAGAUGCAGAGAUAUAAUGAAGACUGGAAACGUUCAAUUCCUUCCUCUGAUAUUUUCAUUUUCGAUCCGAUUAGAUUAAAUGCUCACAACUUCUUUAACCUCAGAUACGAUCCUCACCUUCUGUGUUUGAAACACUUGGACGUACUAGUUUUUUCAGUUUCAAUUUUGUUAACGGCGUUAUAUAAAUACAUUAUAGUGUCACAUGCAGGGAUGACUAUAGAUGAAAUAAUUAAAAGGUUGAGAUUGCAUAUUAAGUGUUCGGUUCACUUGCAUCUUGGUGUCAGUGGCGUAGCUAGAAACCACAAGUAGAAGGGUCAAGAGUUUAAACAAUAAUGCCACACAAAAUAAAAAUAUAAUUUUUAUUAAAUAAUAUAAAAACUUAUAAAUCAUUAGAAUACUUUGAAAACAAAAGCUAAAUAAAAUAACAAAUCUCCCUAAAGUAAUUAUAAUUGUCCUCGACGAUUACUCAUAUUUUGAAAUUUUGGAGGAGCUUCAGAAGGAGUCGACUGUUCUACUACUUUUAUCUUACGAUACUUUUCAAAUAAGACUAAAACAUCCAUAAUUACAAGUUUUUAAUUAUGAAGGUUGUCGACGACAGGGAAAAAUUUAUUAAAGGAUAACAAAAAGAAAUACGUAAAGAAGCGACUAAAACUGUUAAUAUAGAGGUGCACGAGAAAUCAAUCACAAUAAUUGAUUGAUUAGGAAAACAUAUUAAUUAAAAAGACAAAAAAAAAAGACUAGGAAUAUGUUUUAAUUGUAAUAUUAAAGGGAGAUGCAAUCAAUCAUUGAUUCGGAUUAGAAACCUAUAUUAAAAAAAAAUAAGAGAACCACACGUAACAAACACACGUGAGGAGUUGAACACUCCUCUGUCCAAAUUGAUUGUUGUAAUUAAUAUUUUAUAUGCCAAACUUUUCUUUAAUUAGUUAGAAGGGUCAAAAUAUAUAGUGUCAACAUCACAUUUCAACUGACAAAUUAGAUAACAAUAUGACCUAAUAAAAAAUGUGAGGGAGGUUAGCUGAACCCCUUAACCCCCCUUCCCUACGCCCCUGCUUGGUGUGUGCAAGAAAUUUUGAGUUUAUAUAUACAAGAUGUGGCGCAAUGUUGAUUUGUAUUUUCUUUAAUUAAUUGCAGUAAUUAUUGAGAAAAAUAAUUAAGAAGAAGUGAAGUUAUUUAAUAGAAUACGUAAUUCUAUUGUGCAUGUUUGUGGGUACAUAUGUGACUUGAUUGUUUUAAGUUUUUAAUAAACGAUUGAGUUACAUGAUGAGUUUAUUUCGUGUUAACAAAUUGACAUGCAAAUGAUUCUCUUUUCAAUUUUGUUUAUAUAUUCUGAUAGUUUUGGAGUCAUGUAAUUAAAUAAUUAAUUCUUGUCGGAUUAAGAAGCCUAAUGAGAGAGCUCUGUUCUCACAGUGUUACUACACACUUUUCACUUCGUCUGAUAAUAUAAUGCCCCUGAUUUGCUAGUUUCCCCAAUUUUGUUUUUUGUCGUUGGUUGAAACGUGAUACUACCGGUGAUAGGAUCAAGGCUUUAACUGAUUUAUAAGUGAUGUACUUGUGAAUAGUUCGACAUAAUUCUUUGGUAAUUAAGGUUAAGAAUGAAUUACGCUGAAUCGAACUGGAGUACGUUUGAGACUUUGAUCUCAUUCCAUAAUCAAGUCGAGCUUGAUCGAUGGAUCAAGGGGCGGAUCCAGGAAUCGCAAUCGGGUGGGACUUGGAUUUUUAGUAGGAAAAUAUUUUUGACGGUGGUAGAGAAAUUUAUAGAUUGAAAAUAAAGAUAAACUUAGUCAUAAGGACGUAGUGGGCCUUUACCACUCCAAUGUUUGUUUAAUUUAUAAAACACUUUAGACGUAACAAAAAAAAAACUAAAUAAGCAUUUCAAUAAGACCGACAACCUCGCGUCCUCAUCGAUGCUGCGUGACAAGGGUAUGGCAAGGAAGAAAAGAAGACAACAGACAACAUAAACGUAUAUCUUUUUUGAGAAGAUAGAGAAACUUAUCUCUUUCUUUAAUAAAAAUGAAAUUAAGUGUACGUUAGUCACUUGGAUCACGUCAAUGCUAGCUAGGACUUGAGUGAGACUAUCCCAAAAAAUAUUUGAUUAGUAAUUGUACAAGAUGAAGGAAUUUGAGUGGGACUUAGACUCAACAAUCUUACAAUCACACUAUAAAAUUAAUGAUAACUAUAAGUAAUAAUUUUUUUUCCCAAAAUAUUUGGGUGGGACUUGAGUCCCAUGGUGCUUGUACCUAGAUCCGCCCCUCAUGGAUGAAGGAAACAACCUUAUAUAUUUAGGAGUUAUGAACCGAUCACAAACAAUGUUCACUACUUGUUUAACUUGGUGAAAAUUCUAUGGUACGUACGAUUAUAUAUAUAUANNNNNNNNNNNNNNNNNNNNNNNNNNNNNNNNNNNNNNNNNNNNNNNNNNNNNNNNNNNNNNNNNNNNNNNNNNNNNNNNNNNNNNNNNNNNNNNNNNNNNNNNNNNNNNNNNNNNNNNNNNNNNNNNNNNNNNNNNNNNNNNNNNNNNNNNNNNNNNNNNNNNNNNNNNNNNNNNNNNNNNNNNNNNNNNNNNNNNNNNNNNNNNNNNNNNNNNNNNNNNNNNNNNNNNNNNNNNNNNNNNNNNNNNNNNNNNNNNNNNNNNNNNNNNNNNNNNNNNNNNNNNNNNNNNNNNNNNNNNNNNNNNNNNNNNNNNNNNNNNNNNNNNNNNNNNNNNNNNNNNNNNNNNNNNNNNNNNNNNNNNNNNNNNNNNNNNNNNNNNNNNNNNNNNNNNNNNNNNNNNNNNNNNNNNNNNNNNNNNNNNNNNNNNNNNNNNNNNNNNNNNNNNNNNNNNNNNNNNNNNNNNNNNNNNNNNNNNNNNNNNNNNNCACAUAUCAACAUCUCCACCGUUCAAUAUUUAGAUGUAUAUAUGUAGAUCAUUUCUGCAAAAUUUCAUCCCAUUUGGUGAUCGUUAAGGCUUCGAACUAACUGAAAUCAAUUGAUGGAUCAAAUCUGCCAAACCUGAACCGUUCAUGCCUAUAAUUUUAAUUCGCAGUUUUGAACACCUUAACGAUCACCAAUUUGGAUGAAAUUUUGCAGAAGUGAUCUACAUAUUAGGACCUAAAAACUGAACGGUUAAGAUUGAAAAAUGUGAUUGAAAAGUAGAUCUAAUGCUUGAUCCCUUAUAUAUGUCAAAAAAAAGGAUCCUUUAGUAGAAGGGCCCUCAUUAAUAUAUAUAGCAGGGUAGCUGUGCAGAGAAUUAAUAAUGCAUCGCAUGCUUAUUCAAUCUUCUGGACUCUGGACUCUCUUAACUUACUGGAGCCAUGGCCAUGGCCAUGACCAAAGCUCUAGCUAAUCCAUGGUCCAAACUCUUUAUUUACAUGUAGAGAAUAAGACAAACUGACUGACUCAUGUCAGGGACUCAGGCCAGCUUGCUUUCUCUGCUGAGCAUUCCAUUAUUUUGCAGCCUCUUUACCCUCCGUCCUUUUGGUAAUGUUUAGGUAGAAAUUUAUACCUCUGCUCUCGAUGUACAACCUAAUUUUAACUUACUAGGGUAAAAACACUCGAUACUCAUAAAUCUGUAUCAUGGUUUCUGCUUUUCUGGGUCAAGAUGGUUAUUGCGCCAUGACAGUAGUACUGAAUUUCUGCAUAUUGGAAACAAAGAUUACUUGUAAUAUCAUUUCAGGAAUCGAAGUCCAUGUUGUUACUCCAUCAAAUUAAACAAGUGUCUACUUGUUUUUUUUGUCGACGAACAUAUAAUACGAAUGCAUGUUGAAGAUGAAUUUCUGCAUAUAAUUAUAUAUAUAAGCCGGAUGUAGAGCGCACGUGUGCACCGGCUUAAAGUGCGCACGUCAUUCCAUUCGCCACCGUCCGGCGCCGACGACGGCGCGCCUCCACCCCAGCGGACUCCAGCAGCAUCCCCGAUCACUUUCCCUCCCCGACGAGUCUGCCGAAUUCCAGUUUCUGGCGAGAUCGACUUUAUUUAAAGUUUUAGGUGAUCUCGUCGAAAAACUGAAAAAACUUUAAAUAAAGUUAAUCUCGUCGAAAAACUGAAAAAAAACGGACUCGUCAGGAAAGAAAAAUAAUCGAAGAUGUUGCUGGAGUCUUCUGGGGUGGAGGCGCACCGUUGUCAGCGUCGAACGAUAACGAACAGAGAAAUAUGCACACUUUAUGAAGAGUGCACACGUGCGUACUCUAUCGUUUUCGUGUAUAUAUAUACGCCAAAAAGCUAAAUUCAUGCCGUAACUAAUCCACUCCAAAAGAAUUAUUGAAGCGCUGAAAGCAUAAGUAUGCAUGAUACGGAUCUCUGCAUGUUGAUCCUUUUGGUGACACGUUUUUCUGUUUUCCAGAUUUUCAAUUGCAUGGAGGGUCCAAUCAUCUGGCCCUCAUAUGAAUACGUGUGAUCAUAUUUCAGAACAAAGACUAGCUAGGGCAGCUGUUUUUUCUUUCACUUUAUUCAUUUUCUUCUUGGUACAUAUGAUCAAAGUUGUGUCAAAUUAUUAAGCAUAUAUAAGUCACAAUCGAACCAGGAUAAAGGAAAAGAAAAAAGAAAAAGGAGAUCGAAUAAGCCAGAAAGAAAUAAGAUCGAGAAAGGAACAUUUGGGAAAUGGUAUUGAAAUUUAUGUUUAUUAUUCACGUACGUGAUCUCAUCCAUUGGGAAGAAAGGGUGAAACAAACAAACGACAUAGAUACAACAUAUAUGUAAUUAAUCGAAGAUUAUGGGAAGUGCACUACAACUGUCGAAUACAUGGAAAUUGAGAGAUUGAUGAUGAAACUUCCUCCUAAUUUAGGAAUAAUAAAAACUAAAAACAUUCACAUCACACACGCGGAGACUCGCUAGCUUUUCUGCUCGAUCUUGCUCGUGUGUGCAUGAUUGAUGAGGUUUCCUUUCUUCCUUGGACGUCCCCUUCUUUAUUUCUUCUUGGUCUUCUUCUUCACCGUUACCUGUAAUUGAUGGAAGUAAAGAGGAUAGCUUAAGAUAUGCUUAUUCAAAAGAAACAGUAGCAAAUCACUGAACUUGAUAGCGGACUAUAAGGAUAUAUUGAGAUUAAUUACCAGGAGGCAAGUGAGCUCAUUAUCUAGUAGUGGUGAGGAGGAGGAGGUGAGGAGUAGAUGUAAGCCGGUGGAGUGUGAACGGGAGGAGUAGGAGGCUUGUAAGGCUUCGUUGGUGGUGGUGGUGGUGGUGGUGGUGACUUGUAGUGGUAUGGAAUGUGGGGUGGAGAGUAGACUGGAGGAGGAGGAGAAGGCGGUGGUGGAGACUUGUAGUGGUAAGGCGGUGACUUGGGAGGGUAGUGGGGGUGCUUAGGUGGUGAGUACACUGGUGGUGUUGGGGAUGGUGGUGGCUUAGGAGGGUAAUGGGGGUGCUUGGGUGGUGAGUACUUGGGUGGUGUUGGAGAGGGUGGUGACUUGGGAGGGUAGUGAGGAUGCUUGGGUGGUGAGUACACUGGUGGUGUUGGUGAGGGUGGUGACUUGGGAGGGUAAUGAGGGUGCUUGGGUGGUGAGUAGACCGGUGUCUUAGGUGGUGACUUGGGGGGGUAGUAGGGGUGGUGAGGUGGUGAGUAGACUGGCGUUGGUGGUGGAGGAGACUUGUAGUGGUAUGGCUUCUUUGGUGGUGGUGGUGAGUGAUGUGGGUGGUAGGGCUUCUUGUGUGGUGGCGGGGGUGGUGGAGACUUGUAGUGGUAAGGCUUCUUCGGUGGUGGUGGAGGUGGUGGAGACUUGUAGUGGUAUGGCUUCUUUGGUGGUGGUGGUGAGUGGUGUGGAUGGUAGGGCUUCUUGUGUGGUGGGGGUGGUGGAGGAGACUUGUAAUGGUAAGGGACCUUCGGUGGUGGCGGUGAUGGAGGAGGAGGAGACUUGUAGUGGUAAGGCACCUUAGGUGGUGGUGGUGAUGGAGGAGGAGGAGACUUGUAGUGGUAUGGCACCUUUGGUGGUGGUGGUGACGGAGGUGGUGGAGAUUUGUAGUGGUAGACAGGUGUCUUUGGUGGCGGGUACACCGGAGGCUUGGGAGGUGACUUGGGAGGGUAAUGUGGGUGCUUAGGAGGAGAGUACACCGGAGGCUUAGGUGGUGACUUUGGUGGGUAAUGGGGAUGCUUAGGCGGCGAGUACACCGGUGGUGUGGGUGAGGGUGGUGACUUUGGUGGGUAAUGAGGAUGCUUUGGUGGAGAGUACACCGGAGGCUUAGGCGGUGACUUGGGAGGAUAGUAAGGAUGAUGGGGUGGUGCGUAGUGCACUGGUGGCGGAGGCGGCGGUGGUGACUUGUAGUGGUAAGGAGGAGAAGCAGGUGGUGGAGGAGAGGAGUAAGGGUAGUUUGCGGAGGUUUGCGAGGCAAAAGCGACUAAUGCCACUAGAAGACUGAAAACUAGAGAGGUCCCCAUUUUCCCCAUCCUUGUGGGUUUAAGAGGAGAUGGAUUUUGGUUUUCUGCUCUAUAUGCGAAGCCUCUACGCCCUUUAUAUAGCUUUGGUGUUUACCCAUCUAAUCAAACUAAGGGUAAAAUAUAGUAAUCAUCAUCAUGUGCCAAAUUUACAUGCCCAAUUAUCAGUCCUCUUUGGUGUAAAACAAGAUUAGCUAGUGUUAAAAAAACACAAAUAGGGGGCCAGCAAGUAUUGACUGGAAAUAUUUUGUUGAUUGAAUUUGAAGAAUAAAACCUAGCUAACCUAUAUAUUAUACAGUGCCAUCUAUCAAAACGAGCAAUUUUUCCAUAGCUUAGUUAAUUAGUUGGUAUAUUUAUUCUCUGGUUUUCAUGAAUGAUUGAGAAAGAGAGAACAAGCUUCGAAAACGUGUGUGGGUUUUGCCCAACUUUUUCUGAUUCUCGCUGUGCCGAGGACCAGGCGGCUUUGCUCUAUCUGGUCUGUCACAGUCACAUUUUGCAUGGCAUUACUCGAAUUUUUUUCUCUGAUUAAUGUUUUGGGGUGGAUUGAAGUGCCUAUUUGCCUUAAUCAAACGUGGUUUAUCACUAAUUAAUCACUUACAAAGACGAAUUAGGUGUCAUAAUUGCAAUGAAUGAUAACUAGAUAUUGUCUCUACUCUUAACUUGUUGUUCCAAACUAGUAGUAUAAACCAAUUAAGUAGAAUUUAUCGUUUAGACCAUUAACAAAGACUAGCUAGCUAUAAGAUCAAAACAAUUCUUUGAAAGGAGAAAAAUGUUAAUUAAACUAGAGUUGA
rnacentral:lncRNA from 1 species